CUUUGAGCAAGCCAACACCCCCACAAUAUAUAACCACGUGCAUCCAAAGACACCAAACAUAUAUCACACUUCACACAGAAGCAGCCGUUUAUUCAUUGCAUUACACUGGUAGACUAGAUGACACACGACACGAUACGCCAUGCAACGGGGACCAUGCAUGGCUCUACAAUCACACACACACACAGAGAGCUAGGGCUAGGCACGUACGUACCCGGCACCGGCAUAGCUUGAUCACAAUCACACACAUGCAUGCACGUAUGUACACACAUACGUACGCAAUAAACUAAAACCAUGCAUGCAUACUACUCACAACAACACAGCACACUACUACUUGCGAAUCAAAAGGAGGCCGGCUGCAUAUGCAUGCAAUGCAUGUUUUGGAACACAUGCAUCUGCAUAUCACAUGGUCAUGGUUGGGACGAAAGGUGGUCUGACUCUGACGGCGAGGCCGCAGUAGCCCCCUGCUGCCGCUGCUGCUGGGCUGCCGGCGGCGGCGGGGACUUGUUGCCUCUUCAACUUGAUGUAGCCGCCGUCGCCCCACUUGGUCCCCCACGAGUUCUUGACGAUCCAGUACUUCUCCCCGGUGGCCGCGUCCUCCCCGUACCCAACCACGGCGACGGCGUGGUUGAACCUGCUGCCGCACCGCCCUCGGUACACGCCUUGCCCCCUGAAGUGGUGGAAGUCCGGGUGGCCGGCCCUGAUCGCGACGACGGCCACCACCGGCUGCUCCUGCUGCUGCCGGCCGGCCACCACCGCGUUCAUCAGCGCCGCCUCGUCGUUCACAAACACACCGCCGCCAUGAACUGUCGUCUUUCCCGACCCAGUGGUGAUCGUCUCCUUGACGACGGGGUAGCAACGGCGGCGGCAACGGCGGACGCAACGCUUGCGGUGGCCAAGGCCAACUACUCCUCUUUUGCCAGUGAUGAUGCAACGGCGGACACAACGGCGGACGCAACGGCGGCCGUGGCCGCCAUGGCCACCGCUCACGGUGUCAAAGUCACCGCCAUCAUCGCCAUCACUGUCGUCGUCUCCGUCGCCGCCGUCGUUGCUGUCGCCGUCGUCGUCGAAGCCGUCGUCCAGCGCUAGCGUGGCCGUGGUGUACAUGGCCAUGAACUCGUCGGUGGUGAGGUCGGUGUACUCCGUCUCACCGAGCUCGUACGAGGGGUCCUCGCCGUUCCUCGCCAGGAUGUACCGCAUGUUGCCGGCGUACACCUGGAAACGGUGGCGCUCCUCCGAAGCCGUCGCGUAGCUUCGGUUGUACUCUACCUUCCAGCGUUGGAACCGCUCCAUCAUCUGAUCAUCAGUAGCACUGUCGAAGCUGCUGCUGUCGUCGACGUAGCCGCCGCCGCCGCCAACCAGCUGAACCGUCGUCGGUGAGCAGCUGCCGGCGCCGAGGGAGACAGCGAGGAGGACAACGACGAGGAGGCAUGGUAGGGAGUUGUUAUUCAUGGGAAGGAGCGAGCACGUCGUCGCCAUGGUUCAGUACUCUUCGAUCAGAUCACUAAUGGUGGCGUGUAGUGUUGAGCUUUGAGAUGUGACCUGCUGGUGCUAGGCAAUCCACGUUUAUAUAGAGCGGGGCUGGACAUACGAUCACUGAUGAUAUGUUAAAUCGUACUUUUUCUAGCUGCCAGUAGUUUUAGUCAUGGCUCGCCAUGGCCCAUGCUUAGGCCUUGUUUAGUUCACCACAAAAACCAAAAACUUUUCAAAAUUUUCCGUCAUAUCGAAUCUUGCGGCAUAUGCAUAUGGAGCAUUAAAUAUAGAUAAAAACAAAAACUAAUUGUACAAUUUAUCUAUAAAUCGCGAGAUAAAAUUUUUAAAUCUAGUUACUCUAUUUAUUAAACAAUGUUUGUCAAAUAAAAACAAAAUUACUAUAGUGUCGAAAUCUAAAAACUUUUUGGAUCUAAACAAAGCCUUAAUGGGAGAGGAUGACGACGACGUACGGAGAACUAUCCAAUUUCCUGACAUGAUGAUUUCCUUAAGGCCAAGAGACGGUAGAUGUGGUGCAGUACGGUAGAUGUGGUGCAGUAGUUCUCCGACGAUGCCUUCAGAAGGACUUUGACAUCCGCAGAUGACAACAACGUUGGAAGAACAAGAGGAGGUCUUUCGACACCAACUUGCUUCGGCAAACAUGAUCUUCGACGAUGCCUUCAUGAAGGCAGAUGACACGGUUGUGCCAACCAAGUAGAGUUUUCACCCAAAUAUUGUGCUAACCCUAGAAGGCCGCAGCUGCCGACCUCCACGCCGACCAUGGGAGGACAGCCGUGGAAGCCGGCUGCCACAGGUGCAGCCCAACCGGGGGAGGUUGGCUCUUAAAGCCAUGCCCCGUAUGAGGCCAUAGGGACCAUACACCCCACCGCCCUAGGCCAGCGGGUCCACUCCCGACAUGGCCAGGCUAUGCUGGCAAGGAGAACUGGCAAGAGGAGUCGUGACCCCCAAGGCCGCAACCCCUCUUGCAGUCGGCCAUGGCCGCCCAGACGCUACCGCCAUCGCCCAAGAGACUAUAGGACGCGCAACGCACCCAUGCUAGACCGCACCAUCUGCUCGAAUGUGACAGACACCCUUCCCUUGUGUGAAACUGCAGAUCAAGGAGGGAGUGGCUAGGUCUGGCCAUAGGGGGCCGGAUCUACCACGUUGGGCGACCGACCUGCCAGAAAAGCUAGGGUAGAGGGGGCGGAGGAGGGACAGGGGUAGAGAAGGGAGGGAGCAGGCUGCAGCGGCUACCUGUUUUGGGGCCACUACGGGCCGCCGCCGCCACACACUGGAGGACGAUGAUCGCGGCCAGAGGAAGGGUGUGGGGAGGAGUGUUGGGUGGCACCUGCAAGCCCCUAAGUCGGCCGAAGGAGCGCUCAGGGGUGACUUGUGCGAUUUCUUUUUUGACGUCCUAGUCUACGAGUACUACUCUUCGCCCAAUUCUAAGAGGAUGCGCCAAACAUAACAUCAGGUUCAUAUAAAAAAGAGGAAAAAUUAUCUCAUUGUUGGACGCCAUCAAUAAAAAGGUGGAAAACACUACUCUUUCUGAUAACGAAAUAAAUAUGAAACACUAUCUCAAGGAAAAGAUUGCUUCUCUUAUUGCGAGAAGAAGAGAUGAAGUGGUGUGAAAGGGUGAAGGUUAAAAAUCUUCUUGAAGGUGAUUAUAAUACCCGUUUCUUUCAUUUAGUGGCUAAUGGCAAACAUCGCAAACAAACACAUCUUCAAAUUAGAACAAGAUGAUUGUAUAAUUGUUGGCGACAAUGAAUUGAAAAAAUACAUCACUAUUUAUUACAAAGGCCUUUUCGGGCAACCACAUGACAAUAACCUCUCCCUCGUGGAUUAUGAGAUAUAAACAAUACUCCCUCCGUAUAGGAUUUAGGAAGAGAGCUUAAAGAACAAUUUAACAUAUUGGCUAGAUUUCCUCUCUCUUGUUGUGAACCUCCAAAAACAAACACCUCACUUUUAUGAAAAAUUAUCUUAAGACUAGUUAACCAUUCAAAGCAAUAUAGAAUUGAGAUUCCUAAUAGAUUGGAUAGAGCCAUCACGUGGCAGACCUCUCUCGAGCACAGCCGGUAGAACCUCGCGUGGUGGACCUCUCCCUCGCAUAGCCGAUGGGAUCUCGCGCCAUCGCAGAGCUCGCUCGCCGCCGGCAGGAGCUCGCGUGCGGGACAUAGGGGCGGAGUGGUAGGGCAGCUAGCAGGUCCGAGGCCGAGACAGGCGCCGAUCGCUCCUGCGCCGCCAUCGCGGCUUGCGCAAUGCCAGGGCAGGCGCGGCCGCUCGUCUGCUGCCGUCGAGGCUAUGGACGUCGUGGCCCUGGUGGGCGGCGAGGACGCGGCGACACAGGGGCGGGGUUGGCUUGGGGCUCCGGCGCCGACGUGGCUUCGUUCUGGGCUCGCCUCGCUCGCGACCGUGUGGUGUGGUUUCUGCAGUCUGCAGAGAGGAUCCUUCGAUGAGUCAAAGAAACACAGUGAUUGAUUGGCUAGUUUGUUUUUAUUAUUUUUUUACCAGCACACCAGCAGAAGUCUUGCAUAGCAAAGGAUGGUUUUAUGAUACCAUGUCCUAUACUAUAAAAACUAUGUCCUUGUGGUUUCUUGCAUUGAGGGCACUUCCAAUGCAUGAAACUUUUAGUAGUUUCUAUAGCAUAGCAUAGGACAUCGUACUGAGAAACCAUCCUUCCCAGUGCAAGAUUUCAAACAAUGAUUGAUGGACCAAUUAUUGCAUAAGAUAUCAAAUUUGAUACUAUGUCUUUCUGGUCUUAUUAAUUAUAAUCCCAUGUAUCAAAACAUGAUCCUCUCCUAGGUUGCAACUUUGAAGGUGUUAGAUUUGACCACGCUUGUUGGAUCUUAUAUAUGGUUGCUUGUUCCCAUUUGUCGAUAUUAAUGUGAUGCCUGGACUUUCUUGCUAGGAAAGUGAGCAAAGUUUUGAGCUUAGGUAGGGAUGUGGAAAGAAAGAGCACAUGCUGAGAUGGCGAGGCUCAGAGCAUAGCAGGGAAAGAAGUAUAGAUGGCCAAGUGGACCAAGCACGAUGGGCCAACACAGGCAUGACACAGGCUUUAUAAUGCCAUAGCUGGGACAAGCAUGAGCUUGGACCAUAAUGGACAUCGCACCUUUAGGAGAUUGAACAAUAGAUUUUUACAUUGACACAUCACCACAUGCGUUCCCAUAAUGACACAUACCACUAAAAAAUAACACAUUAAUCUUGGAAAAAACAUUAAAAAAUUAAGCAUCUAUGUGAAAACAAGGAGUAAGAUCAGAGCGGAGCUCGAUUAGUUCGCACAUAUGUAGAUAAUUUCUAUGUAAAAUUAGAAAGUUGCUUUAAAUUAUUUUUCAUAAUAAGAUAAAUGGUUAAUUUAGUUGUAGAUGUGGGAGCUUUUUUAUUUCUAUAAACAACGGAGUGGGUAAUUUCUAUGUAAAUUUAUCGGCCUUAAAUUAUUUCUUCAUAAUGUUGUGCGUGGGUAACUUAGUAAACAUAGGAUUUGAUUUAAUUAAAUUAUUUAUGGUGGCUGGCAUCACUGCAUAAGUAUGAAGGUGGAAGCUCCAAAGGAGAACAUGGCAAGUGCCACUAGUGGGUUUCAUCAAUACUGUAUUCCUUGUCGUAAUGAAUAUGAUAACUAGCCAUUUUUAUUUUUACGGUAAAAAUAUAUAGAUCAAUCCUCAUGUUUGUUGAGGAAAGGACGCUGACAUUGAACCGUUGUAACCAUAAGAGAUGUAAGAGGACGACGAUGGAUGCAAAACUUCAAUUCGGAUCGUGGCGAUGGUACACGAUGAUGAAUCUAAAACCGUAAUGACUAGUGCGAAUCUCGACAAUGCUAACACAACAACUCAAGUGUUCAUUCUGACUCCAAACUUGGAGUCUCAUCAAUCAAGCCGACUACAUAUUGGUGCCUGGUGGAGAGGGCUUGUUACCAUGCAUGCAUUGUCACCAUCCCUCACGAGGGGGGGGGGGGCAGUGGCCCCCACCCCAAACAAAAUGAUUUAUCUAAAAUACAUAUAAAGGUUUUUUAAACAUAUAAUUAUAUAUAUAUUAUCACAUUAAAAAAUACAAUCAUAUUUGUUCGACUCCUUUAAUCAAAAUCGCUGGUUCCAUCACUACACACAGCUAGCUUACGCCAGGCCACCGGCAGAGCCAUGUGAAGGAGUAGGAUACGUUGCAGCCGCCUCCUCGGUCAGGCUUGAUGACUCGACACUCCACAGUGUGGGCUCGGUCUGAACGGAGCUGCAGAAUCGGCAACGCCAAACACGAGGCGCAGCCGCCCGACAUUAUUGGUGCUGGUGCCCGCUGGAGCUAGAGGACAUGUACCACACGUGCAUCGUCACCAUCCCUCACAGCUAGCACCAUGUCAAGGAGCUGAAAGCAUGCAAAGCUUUGAGUUCGUGGCUUUCCCGGUCCACAUGCACAAUGUGUGGUGUGUACAUGUAGGAACAUGGUACGGUACCACGUUCCUCGUCCCGGGAUUAGUUCAUGGUUUAAGGUGAUGUUAUUUCAUUAGUUUGUACCGACGCUAUGUUCAUUGUGUGCGGAAAGUCUAAAACAUGUUGUCAAACAACUUUUGUAGAACAGACUUAGUUCUACUCCUGAUGCUAUGAAAAAACCAUGAAGGUUUGGGGCUUUGUGAGAUGCCAGGAGGAGAAACGUUAAAUGGUAAUGCUGCUUUCUGUUCUCUUGCAGAAGAUCUCUGCAUUUACUGAAGCUGUAGAAGUUCAAACAAAAGGAGUGUAUACUGUAUAGUCCUAUGGAGCGCUCCUAAUCACAUAGUGACAAGAUGAUGCCUUUGUUAAGUCAAAAUCUAUUGUAUCUAAUGUCAAGCUUAGGCAGUUGGAUGAUGAUGUGAUAUGCCUGAGCCACUGGGAUCAAAGGAGAGGGUAGAGCUUAGCAUGAUAGAUGAAAGGUUCAGCAUGUGGACUGAGCACAAAUAAGCAAAAAAAAAAAAAAAUCCUUUUGUUGUUGGACAACGUGGACAAGUAGGCUAGUAGGGGAAAAAAUGACCCAACACUCUAUCCAAGUUCUAGACUCAAACAUUUGCCUGGUGCAAAGCUCACAUUUGCCUUGGCUAACAGAAAUUGCUAUGGUCGGUCUGGUAAUCGCACAGGUUUCACCUACAUGGUUAUGCAGACUUGACAAGACAGCUUACCAAAAAAUAAUUAUUUACUUUAAUUUCUCGUGCUUACUCUAAUGAAAUACUAUAGCAAAAAAUAAUUGUCUUAAAUGAUCUUAAUACAAAUAAUUUAUCUCAAUAUGCAAACUAUAAUAUUGUACAGUCAUCUUUUUUAGAUAAUACAAAAUCAAUUGACUUUAGCUAGCGUUCUCAUGCACAAGCAUCCAACCAAACACGUUUUUUUCAAACUUACCUGGCUUAAGCCUGUUUGCUUGGCUGAUAAGUUAAAAGUACUGUUCAAUAAUUUAUUAAGAGAGAUAAAUACUAUUUAAUAACUUACAGAUUCCGCCGAUAAUCAUCAACUCUCACACAACAAUUUUUACUGGAUAACUCACCCAGUACACCAACAAAAACAGGCCUAAAUCGUGGAGCCCGUGAUGACCUUUGUGCACCCGGCCUCAAGUCGCGAGCGCUGGUACUCCUUCCUCCACAUGGCUGUGGGCUGGUCUGGUGCCGCCUGUGAGCAAUGCAGUGUCCUCGCCCGUCGUCGAUGGGUGGGUGCAGACGUGCAGUGCAGCGACGAAGAUGGACCAAACCACGAACGAGGCUGUACCAGUCCUGACCGUCGUCGCCGGCCGGGGCCCGGGCCGUGUCCACACCAAGCGGCCGGUCGUCGUAGGUGAUGAUGAAAAUAUCGAUCGUGAUCCAUGCAGAGCGCAGUCAGCAUGCUGAUGCAUCAGUCCACCACCACCACCACUUGUCGUCUGUGGACGGCGCAGAGUUUUCUUGGCCGGCCGCCCACGUCUGACACGGCCGGUACGGACGUACGGUGAUGAGGCAGACGCCCACAUACAGCGAGGCGGUCGACCUCGCCCGUCGUCCACGGCGUAGAAGCCGAACACGAAUCUCAUUCCGCGCGGUGUUUUUCUUUUUCUUUUCUUUUUCUGCAUGACGCAAAAAGGUUUGCGUGUUUUGUGUAUGAGGCAAAAAAACGUUUGUGUGUCUUUGUAUUAAGGUAGAAGAAAAAGUUUAAUACAAUACGUCUUAGCAAAGCCUAGAAGGUUACAAGAGCUAUGCAUGGACGUUGAGCUGGCGUCAUAAAAUCUUUGGUGUUACAUUGAGAAUGGAUCUACCCGAAAAGAGACGUCGGCUAGGACACAUAUGCCAGUGCAGCCGAGCGGCGACGGCGCCACUUGUGUGUACCCACGCCAUUGUCCGGCGGGAACUGACGAAGCGUCUCCAUCUGGUCGGGGUCACAUCCGUAGAUUUCUUCGUAUGCCUUCAUGGCUGACGUGGACGGAGUCGACAUCCCGCUGCUUAGUCCUAGGCGCUUCAAGACAAGGCGCUCGCCUUGCUUAGCCACCGAGAUGUGAGACAGGCUCUGCGUCGCUAUCUGCCUUCUCCUCUUGGGGAGUGUAGGUGGUGCACAUCUGUCGAGGGCUAAAUCAUCGCCGGAUAGCUCUACGAACGGCGUCUGCCUCGCCUUCUUGACUCAUGUAAUGAAACUCUUGAGGCGACGACUAUCGGCGGAGUCUGUUUGAGGGGAAGGAGCGUUAUUGACAAUGUUUGUGGCUGCCACUCCAACCAAGACUGAAGAAUGGACCGAGAUAACCAAGACCAAAGCACGAUGUUUUUUCGAUCACCAUUUCGGUUCUGAGUCCAUACUAUUUGAUCUUUUUACGGUAAUUAGUUUGGUUAUAUACCUCGGGUAACAAUACUAACCGAACAUUUGGAUUUUGUUGAUAUAAUAUUGUUGGGGAUUCGCCCAUGUCCCCUAGUUGCUUCGGAAGCGAAGGUUACCAGGACCUUCGGACGUUGACAGGCGAAGGUUUGGGGAAAAGCUAACGCUGAAUCGGCUUAAUUCUGUGAGACACAGGUACACGAGGACCAACUUGGCGUGGAGGACCCUAAAAGCCGUGCGUGAAUCCUCCGGCCCUGAGGUGGCGGAGCACCUCGGAAGGCGGGCGCAGAUCCUUCGGCUCCAGAUUGGCGGAGAAUCAAGAGCCACUGGCGGAAGAAUGGCGAAGGUCCAGACCACGUCAGGGUUAGAACGUCGGCGCAAUAAUUUGUAAAAUAUUCUCGAGGGAGAAUUACUCAAGUAGCCCUAUAGGUCGCUGCCUAGAAGGCAGAAUAUACUAGCAUAUUCUACCACCAUCACGGGGUGUUUUAGUGACAGGUUAUGAGCGGAAACUGAGCCCUAUAUAUAUAAAGGGAUUGUAAAUGCUCAUCAAAGGGGACAGUUGGAAGCAAUUUAUCAAAACUUUUACUAUUCUAGGGUUCACGUCCCCGCCUCGUACCCCAUGCGGUUGGGUCCCUAUGGCACCGAGCGAGAUAUCCCAGCCAAUCACUGUCGGCGAAGGUUGUGAUCACUACCAACAAAUAUGUAGUGAUGCAAUAUUCAUUCUAGUAGGUUCAUAUUAACUAUCACUCUUGUCACUUUGUUUAAUCUAUAGGUUAUAUUGUAAUUUUUACCUUGGAAUAGAAACGGUAGUGCUAAUUGUGCUAAAAACUUAUGCUAUUUAGCGGUUGUUUUGUCUAGUCCAGUUAGUUUGGUCAUAAACAAGACCAAACUUGUUUACUCCUGAGUUUUAAAACUCCGUUUUUAAAUGACCGAACUUUCAAAAUGCCCGAAAUACUCCGAAUCUCAGCGAAUUUCGUCCAAUUCGGUUAGGUCCGAAACGAAUUUUAUGAUCCAAUUUCCGAAAAUUCACCGAAUUCAGCCCGAAAUUGAACCGAAUUUUUCCGAAUUUCGUCCAUUUCGGUUAGGGCCGAUUUUUUUUUCAAAAUGAAUGCCAAAACCUCGGCCGGAAUCAGUUCAUUUCGGUUAGACAAUGCAACGCUAUUAAUAAAUCCAUGGGCCCGUGAUGACAUUUCUGCACGAUCGAGCUCCGGACAGAGCAAGCACACCGAUAAUGCAUGGCGGGUGGUGUCGUCACGAGCAGGCCGCAACGCUGCAGGAGUAUCGUUCGUACUCCACAUCCACAUGGCUGGUGGGCAGCUGUGACGCCAUGGUUCAUGCAUGUCGAUCGUCUGGUGGUCGGCGAGGUCCCUGCUGGUCGGCGGGGAGCAGCAGGUGUCGUCGAUGGGUGCAGCGACGAAGGUACGGUGGACCACACCACGGUCCUGCUGCCUGCUGGUGCUGUGUACUGUAGGGCACAAAGCUGUCAUCACCGGUUCUCGCUGCAGCACCACGACGACGCUCCAGUUCUGUUCUGGUGGCCGUCGCCAGGGCCCGGCCCGUCCGCACCAAGCAGUCGUCGUCGUCGUACCAUGUCGUCUGCGAUCCACAGCGCACCACCACCACGCGACACUCAUGCCGGGGGCGGGGCGGUACGGUGGUGAGCUAGACGCCCACAGCGAGGCGGUCGCCCCGUACGUCGUCCAUGGCCGCAUGGCGUAGAAGAAGCCGAGCGCUAAUCUCACACGGCGCCGGCGUUCAGCAUGGCGCGGUGUGUCCCGGCCCGUGUUAGCAUGUGGCCGCCGCCGGCGAACUCAAGUCUGAACUCUCGACUCUCAGGGCAUGGAAUGGAGCAUUUACACUAGCGGUUGGCUUAAGUCUGUGAUAAACGUUUCCAAAGGCGGCCGAAAAUCUCUGGCACCGCCCUAUUUAUACCACAGGCGCGUCGUAACUGGAACCGCGUGUGGUAUAAAAAGGGACGCCAGCUAUGAGCAUGUUUCUACUAGUAGUUUUUGUAGGGCGUGGAACUGAAUGUUUUUUUAGGAAAAAAAGAGGACACAAAAACGGAGGAGUAGCGUUUGGAUCAAAGGAUUGUCAUGUUACCCUUCCUUAUGGAACACUGUUGCAGGCUUUUCAUUUCAAAAGGCCUCGUUUAGUUUGGGUCGGUAAAGCUUACCGUCCAUCACAUCGGAUGUUUGGACACAUGUAUGGAGUACUAAAUAUAGAUUAUUUAUGAAACUAAAAACACUACUGGAGAGUAAUUUGAGAGACAAAUCUUUUAAGUUUAAUUAGUCUAUGAUUGAAUACUAAUUGUCAAAUAAGACGAAACUACUACAACACAUGUUAAACUUUAACACUCCGAAUCAAACACCCUAUAAAAUCCAAGGUUUUCUUUUCCUUCACGAAGUACGUUAGCUACCUUAUGCACGUCAUUGUCCAAUCUCUGCUGCUAUGCACCUUGCACCCAUUAAGCACUAAAGCUUGUAUUAUUAUUUCUAAAAUUUAUCUGAUUCUACCGUUUGGAGUUCUUACAUUCCAAACACCUCUAUCUACAUCUUCCUAUGUUUUUCUAUUCCUCUGUUUUCCCAUGAUAUUUACAUUCUAUUUCUAUGUUUUUUUCCUUUUCUCUCUUUUGCAAUCCUUGGCUCCAAACAGACCCUUGAGUUGUCGCGAUCGAGCGACAGCUGACAAGAGCAACAAAAAAAAAGGCGUCCUGCUCCUUUAGUCCCCCACAAGGCUGGACGCUGGUGGCCCGGUUCUUUUUUUUUGAAAAGGUUUCCAUUAAUACAUUCAUCCACACAAAUUGCUGGAUAUUAGCAGGUUUACAGACUUAGGUAAAUAAUGGCCCUGCCACAGCAUAGAACCACUUUUACAAUUUAAACCUAUAGCUGCUAAUGUAUGAGCAACUUCAUUACAAGCCCGAGGGCAGUGAGAGAUAAUACACUCAUUAAAAUCAUAUAAAAUUCUAAAUCUAAUCUCUCUAAACAUCGUUCCCAGAGGAGAUCUAUCAAAAAGUUGAUUCUUAACAACGUUGACUACCACCUCGGCAUCAGUUUCCAGGAUGAUGUGUUCCAAACCUAACACAGAAGCUUGCUCGAGACCCUUUAUGCAUGCCAACGUUUCUGCAUGGUAAGCAUUCAUCAGAUGAUCAGCUGCACCUGCUCCUGCCAUCACAACCUGCCAUGCAUAUCAAGAAUGCCCCAUCACAGUUUAUUUUGUAAGCAUCUUCUGGGGGCACUUUCCAUCUUUUGUUUUACAACGUGUUUGAUUCUUGUAUUAGACUGCUGGUGAGUUAGAUUCCAUACCAUCAUAUGGUAAUUCACUUCGUUAAAAACUUCUUGAGCAUUGUUCCUCCGUUCACCUGCAUUAGUCUUAUUGCGCGCAGACCACCAGCACCACAUGAGUAGAAUUAUUUUCUGCUUUAUGUCACUGCGAAGUCUCCAGAUUUUGGUAAGCAUAUCUUGUAUUGUUCCUUAUUUUAAUAAAUCCACCCUCACCUUUUCCAAGUUCAGAAGCAACCAACAUAGUUUAAUGUAUUUGCAUUUGAAUAAUAAAUGGCCAAUAUCUUCAUCAAAUCUGUAGCACAUAGGACAUAGAGUAUCCAAUUUAAUUCCCUUCCUUGCAAUAUUCCCUUUAACCUGCAGUGAAUUAUGUGCCAUUUGCCAUACAAAGACCUUCACCUUAUUAGCCACAUUUAACCUCCAUAUUUCCUUCCAUUCAAAGUUAUAGGAAGCAGUACAAGAAGUUGAUGCAUCAGCUCUGGUUUCUUUAUCGCGGAUUUCAAUACCCAAGGCAUAGGCAGAUUUUACUGAAAAGACUCCCUUGGGGUCAGGGUGCCAGGCCAAAAAUCCUCUGUAUCUUCCACAAUUGGGAGAGAGAGAAUUAAUCUUGCAUCUUCCUCCCAAAAUAUGUCUUUAAUCAACUGUUCAUCCCAAUAACCUGUUGCUGGAUUAAUUAAUUCAAUGACCUUUUGUAAGAUAGAACCUCUUCGAGGUGUAAUAAUUCGCCUUAUGCUAUUACUCGAAAUCCAAGGGUCAUUCCAAAUGCUGGCUGCAGAGUGGUGGCCCGGUUCUAGCGAGCCGUGAGAACGACGAUGACGGUGGUGACGAUGUGCUUCAUGUCCUCUGCACAGCACCGCAUCAAUGGUGGCGAGUCUUAACCUCGCACCUGUAACAAUUCUGUAAUAAUUAUGAUUUUUUUUCUUUCUCUCGUCUAAUAAAAAUCUAGCAAAGCUGUUGCCGCCUUUCGAAAAAAAACUACACCGAACCAACGGUGACGGAACCAGCGAUUUUGAUUAAUGAGGGCCCAACAAAUAUAAUUGUAUUUUUUUAGUGUGAUAAAAUAUAUAUAAUUAUAUAUUUGAGAACUUUUUCAAAAAUAUUAUACUAUUUCUUACCAAAAUCAUCAUAUUUUAACCAAAAAUAAGUGAAAUUAAUAUUUUUAUGCUAUAAAUAUCAAUAUUUAUAUAGACACUCCAAGUAGAUUAUUGUGCUUGGGGAUGGGGAGGCACUGCCCCUACUAGCCCCCCCUGGUUCCACCACUGCGCACCAAUGGCACGUCGUUAUGUUGGUGGCUGGCGCCCCAGUUCAAAUAAGUUAGAUUCGUCAAUUUCCCAGCGCCGGCGUGCUGCAUCUACCGCCAAGAGACUCUUCACUUCGUCUUCAGAUUCAGCAGUGUGUGCCAUCGCCGUCGCUAUUGCCACCAUGUGAGGCCUUGUUUAGCUCCAUUUUUUUUGCAAAAUGGACACUGUAGCAUUUUCGUUUGUAUUUCACAAAUAUUAUCCAAUCAUAAACUAAUUAGGCUCAAAGGAUUCGUCUAGCAAAUUACAGGUAAGCUGUACAACUAGUUAUUUCUUUUAUUUAUAUUUAAUCCUCUAUGCAUGUGCCACAAGAUUCGAUGUGACGAAGAAUCUAAAAAACUUUACAAAAUUUUUUUGAACUACACAAGGCGUAUGAAUUGAAGUUUGCACCCGUCGUCGUGCUCUUGUGGUUACAACGACUCAGUGCAUGCGGGCUAUCUGCCCGGGUUGGCGGGUUUGGACGAGCAUCGUUUUGUUUAGUAAAUUAUUUACUCUUUUGCUGGUUUUUCUAUUCUUGGUCUGAUUUUCUCAUUUUUGUAGGAACAAAUCAUUGAUAACGAUGGGAGAAAGGGGAAAAAAUUACUCUCUCUUCCUAUAUUUUUCGGCCACUUUGUGUAAAAUUAAUUUGGAUACGCAUGAACUCCUACCUGUAAUUAGGAUUUUUUUUAUGUAGCAAAGUCCAUGCAAAGAACCUGCAUUUGGCCUCAAGAACACAUGAACAUCUCCAUUAUCGAAAAUACCAUUGGAAAAACUAUUAUGUAAUAAUGACAUGACGGUUCAAAACAAAAUCAGUGAAACUAUACAAAACAUUGAUUUCAUAUUGGGAAUAAAUACUUAGAAUAAUAGAGGAUGAACUAACAAUAGGUUGAGGUUUAAAAGGAAAACCAAUAGCAUAAAGAAGCACACAGCCAUGCAUAUCACUCCCUCACACCAUCCCAAAAUGACUCAAGUUAGGUUUGUCGUAAUUCAAACCAUACUAAAUUUUGACUAAAUUUAUAGAGAAGAGUAUAAACAUUUAUGGUACCAGAUAUUAUAUAAUUUUAUAAAUAUAUAAAAAUUUUUAUUCGGUAUUAUGAGCAUGAGAAGUAUAGUUAUUUUGGGGGUGCACGUAUGGCCGGACGUCGUAGCUGUUUGUGUGUGUGUGUGUUUUUUUUUUUUUAUGAAGGAGUUGUGCCUUUGCGUUGAUGCCUGGUUCUACGUUCCAAAUGGGCCAAGCAGGCAAGAGAUUUCACAGCCCAAGGUCCACGGCCCUGGAUUAGUAAACUUGGGCUCGGCCCACUUUGUCAGCCCAUCUGCACGAAGCCCAGCGCAGCCCAGCUCAGCCCAGGUAUGACUGGUAGUCGUCCCCGUCCUCGAGCUCGAGGUCGUGGGUUGGUGGGGGCCAAGUAACGCGCAGCCUCGCUGUCGCCAGCCUUCCACGUUUUUUUCCCCCCCUUCUCCUUCUCCCCCGCCCGGGGAAUCAAGACUCGACAGCUCCAGGUUGGCCAUCGAACACCCAUCGUCGCCAGCACGGAGGGGGGUGGGCAACUCACUGGACGCCGUGGUGGCGGACCGGCCACGACGCGUCCCCCAGCUGCACGACGAAAGGCGGGCCAGUUAAUUGCUUGACUUGAUCCUCUUCUUGGGCGGCGCGGCGUCCUGUGCCGUGCCGUGCUGCGUCCGCGACUCCGCGUGUGAAAGACUCGACCGGCAUCCCUGAUCCACAUGGCCUACCGACGGAAGCAGGGCGCCGCCGCCGCCGAUGAUCGCCGGAGCUCCUAUCCCCAGGCACGCACUCCUGCCUCUCCUCCUCCUUCUCCUUCUCUUCCCCGGCCUCCUGUCCUGCUGUGUGUGCCCCCGCUCCCGCUGGCUUGCUUGUAGUUGUGGCCUACCGUGCGGUUUCUUGGUUGCCGAUCGAAAUCUCUGAACAGAAUUAGGAUCAGGAAAAAAAACCAAAAUUGCUUCGCCAAUUGAUUGCUGAUUGCUUGGUUCCUCUGAAAGUCUUCCUCAUUAGAUAGAUGUUGUACCAAAUCAUGACGCGUGUAUACACCUUGAAGUCGGUGAUCUGAUACGCGCAAUCGCUCUGUUCCUGACACAACACUAGAUGGCAUGGCAUGGCAUGGCAUGGCAAGAGCUAGCUAGCUUCAGAUCACCACAGUGAGUCCACAACACCCUCAUGAUCUGAAUGAUAUGCUUUGGUUGGUUUGGCUGUGCAGGACUCUGCUUCGUCGCACGGCUACACAUCGUUCAAGAGCAUCGAUGAGCCCAAGCUCGGGUUGUGGCAAACUUUGGCGAGCAAAGCCAAGGGAAUCCUCGACGACGACGGGUUGGCGCAUAAGUUUGAGGAUUUGAGGAAAGAACGACCUCGUAGCAACACCACUACUGCGUCCAGCAAAGAUCAGGUGAGACAGAAAAGUGUAUCUGAAUAUCUGGACAUACUGACUGACAGUCUCAUAAGUGUACUUGUCGUGGAUGACAUUGUUUAGUUGUCUCUCUUUCUUCAGUAACGUCCCAAGUUGCCUUUCGGUUUGCAACUAAUCCCAUUUUUGUUUUGUAAUUUUAGGCCCCUAAUAACUCUCGCUGGUCAUUUGAGAACCACUGGAAGGCUGGAGAUGCCGCAUCACGGAUCAGACCUGAGGCUCUUUCUGCAUCUGUCAACCAGCUUAGUGGAAAAAUAAAAAAUGCUUUCGAAGUAAGUAAUAAUGUGCUUUUACUAUCUUUGUGCAUCUCUGUUUUUUUCCUCUCCUUCAGUCAUGGCAUAAACUUCUGGAGCUAUUUUCUAAACUGAUCACCUGUUGCUUCCUUUGUUUAACAGGAAGGGCUCACAAUUGUGGAUAAUAAGACUUCCAGUAUCAUUGAGGAAACAAAGAAAAUUCAAAUUAGAAGGAAACCUGCUGGUUCAAGUACUUAUGUGCCGAAUUCAGCAGUAGAUACAAAUACACUCAGCACUCCUAAUCUUUCACUUCGUCAGCCUGAAUCUGCUGCCCAGGAGACUGGACUGAAAGCUUCUCGCGACGUAAGGUGCCACAUGCUUAUAUCUUGAUGGCAAAUAGGUUAUUUACAUCUUCUAUGCAGAAAACCAGAAUUUUCUUUGACAUAGGAAAACCUUCAACGUUUAGUGGUCCUUAUAUUUGCAUAUCAACAUCAAAAUCUAUGUUUUGCCAUCUAAUUAGCUUAGUAAGCUCUUUUCUCUUCUUACACUGAAUUAGCUUAACUUUUCUUUCCCUAAUAACAUAAGACUAUGGUGAGAAUAAGAAAUUUGUCCUUCUCGCUAUCAUUAGAUGAAUUCUUCAGAUAAGUAAAUGAAUGAUUCUUCUGUAGUACCUAGUGUCUACCCGGACUGAUCCCUUUCUCUUCACCCCUAUAAAUUGUUUCAGGUUGCUAAUGCAAUGGCUGCUAAAGCAAAACUUCUACUCCGUGAACUGAAAUCUGUUAAAGCAGAUCUAGCUUUUGCAAAGCAGAGAUGUGCUCAGCUAGAAGAAGAGAACAAGCUCUUGCGAGAAACAAAGCAGAAAGGGAGCAAAACUGAAGAAGAUGAUGACUUGGUAUUUUUUUUUUCUGAUCACUCUUAUCUGUUAUCAUGUUGAAUGUCUCUUGGUGAAUUACAUACAUCUUGAUUUUCAAUUCAUCAAGAAUAGGUGAUAGUUCGCCACCAAACUUAUAAAGAAUAUUGCUACAUGGGAAUAUUUUUGAACAAUUGCAUCAAAGGAUCGAAUUUACAGUACUAUCCCCCUUCUGAAAAAUCAGCAUUACAUAACUUUAGAUUCAUAUGAAACAAUAUUAUAUGGUCAUGAGAAGUUUGAGUCCAGUAUCUCGUUUCAUAUUAACUAUGAAAACUGUUGGUACUGUCACUUGUUGUUUGAUAACAUCUAAAGAGUAUCACUGCAUCCUCUGAAAUGUGGUAUAUAAAACAUAUAUGGUCUUGUACUUGUGAACCAGUGAGUGUAACCUUUUUUCUCCACAUCUACUGAAUAGUCCCUCUGAACUACCCAUUGCUGAAUCAGAUUCGUGUGCAACUGGAGACAUUGCUGGCUGAGAAAUCGAGGCUGGCACAGGAAAAUUCAACAUAUGCCCGUGAAAACCGCUUCUUGCGUGAGAUAGUAGAUUUUCAUCAAUUCACCACACAAGAUGUUGUCUCGUUGAAUGAUGGCGAUAUGGAAGAUAGUGAACCAGAAGAAGACAAUGACAUCAUAUGUGCUCAAAACGUGUUGCCUGUGAUUGAAGAAAAUUCAGUAGAUGAAGAACACUCCCCUGUCCCCUCCAGGCCAGAAUCUCCAAUGGUCAACCCGGGAGAUCCAUCAUCAACCAAAUCCAGCAAUUCUCAUGAUGCCUCAAAGCCAGAUGCUGAUGUAUCUGAUGUAGCAUGAUGCAUGCGACUUUGGUGACUUAGCCAUCUUGUUUGGGAUUUCAGCUGGCAUUGGUUGUGAGUUGCGUGCGUGUGCAUAAAAUUUUGUCCAUUCUUUGUCCACACUGGUUUGUAGUUGGAAGUUGUAACAUAUUUACAGGUUUCUACCUUUGUAUAGAGCACGUAUAGUUUGUUUUUUUCCUCCAUGGGGUGUUCUGAUGGAAAACUAACUCAUGUGCCCCGUGGGAGUUUAUUGUGCAUAUGGUUUGGUUUGCAUGUAAUUACCUGUGAAUUUGACUGUUAUAGGCAAGAAAGAAAUAUUGAAGAGUGAGGUUGCAUUGCAUGUAUCUUUUAGUUUUGGUGAUCCGAUACCUUCCUCUCAUAUAGAUGAGUGUACAUCUUCCGUGGUGUCCACCCAAAAUAACACUUGGGUAGUGCUAUACGCAAAGGGUUUAAAAUCCAUUCAACAUCUUCUCCAACAAUAGGAUCCAAAAGAGAAUCUUUUCUGCAAAUGAGUUGCCAGGAGGAAGUAUACUCAUAUUUGGGUUGUGUUUCUCAGACAACCCAAAAUGGGUCUUCCGUAUAGGUAAUCUAAAGCCGAUUUUGAGUCUACUGCUAUCCAUUUUGGGUUUAGAUGCCCAUAUAGAUCACUUGUUGGAGAUAACCUUAGUCACCCAUGCUGGUAAUUUUAGCCCAACUUUUGUGAUGCUGAUCGAAAACACAUGCACAAGCCCUAAACUCAGAUUGGUGGAUCCAGUGGUGGAGAUGCUGUCAAAGAUGGUCAGUGGUAGGCUGGGUAGGGGGAGCAAGGUCAAGUCUUGCACAACCAUAUCCCUCGUGAGGGGAGAUCUGAUGUGCAGGGAGGAAGAAAGAAGGGCUGUCGUCGUCGAAUCAAGAUCUAACACUCUAAAAAUAAUGGAUUAAAUAUUUCCUUUUUGAUCCAUCUAUAAUAUAGUUUUAUACUAAUUUGAAUUGUUUUGACUGUUAAUUUAAACACUUAAAAUCCUAAAAUUGCUUUGCAAAAGUGGUUGGACAAAGUUAAUUAUGUGGUUAGUAGUUUCAUGACCAAAAGCUCUAGCCCAUGCAUGAAGGAAGAGGUCGAUGUCAAAGUAGCCAAUGCAUAAACAAAAAGGUCGACGUCAAAGGAGCUAGUUAGACUCCCCUAGAGCUUUUGGUAGUCGUAAUUUCUUUAUAAGAGAAACAUGGCAUCUAGAGUCAUCUCAUCAUGUGCAAGAUGUUGACACAUUGAUAGUAAUCUUUGUUUGUUAACGAUAAACUUUAUUAGCACAAAUGAUGAAAUUAACUAGAGUGUGCUACUAUAACACCCAGGUGUUAGUUAUAAGCUAAGAAGUGAGUUUGGACUUAAAUAAGAUAUGUCAAAUGGUGAUGAAGAGCUUUAGUUCAUAAUCUUGAAAUGGUGGUGAAGUUGUUGAGGUUAAUCUAUGAGAAUGAGCCCAACUUAAUCUUUUGGGAAAAAAGCAAAACCCUUGUGCUUAGUGUCAAACCCUUUUCAAGGAUUUGCAUGAGUAAUGUUAAAGAUGAUUCUUUCAUGUGCCUCACAUCAACUUCCAUCUAUAUUGACUAUUGGAAAAGUUUCAUGAAGUUUGAAAUCAAAAGGUCAUGUGGAAUGAAAACUUACAACCUUGCUUGAAUUGCUUUGUUUAGUGAACAAGAACAUGUGAUGUCAACCAACCUUUGCAUUCAUGCUCAAACAACUCUAAUGGAAUUCUAGAACAAGAGUCAUUAAAGGUUUGUGUUGAUCAAGUGCCAAGGAAAUGCCCCAAUAGGCCUAAAACCCUGUUUAAGCUUUAUCAAGAUGCUAUUUUGACCAACACAUGACUUUGGUUUCUAUACUAGUUCGAUGGUUUGACCAAAAAUAGAAGUGGUAGAGCAGGUUGAAUAAAACAAAGUUUGUUUUUGGUGCAAAUCCUAAAUUAGCUUCUAAGUUUGUCGAUCAGUGGACUCAAGUUUGAGCAGGAUCGUGAAUGGGUGUUGUCAAAAUUCUCACCUUCCUAUGGUUUUAGGUAAGGAUUUUGACUUAAUUAGGAACUUUAAAGAUAAGAGUAACAACCAAGGCAAUCCCAGACUGAUGAGGAUGUUUCAACAUUGAAGAUCAUAGGAGCAAACCAUUUUAAGUAAUAUUGAUGCAAUUCUUGUAUCUGCAAGAUUGGGAGCAACAUUUUCCAUGUUGUUUCCUCAAUACCUUAACAAGGGUGGGGUUUGAUCAUUGUCCAUUGCUAUUAAAUGAUGGGGCAAAUGACAAGAUGCAGUUAAUGUCAAGCAAUUUAGACCAAUUUGCUUACUGAAUGUUAGCUUCAAGAUCCUCUCUAAACCAUUGAUAGAUAGGCUUAUUGGGGUGGCUAGAAAACUAAUUGAUAAGUGUCAAACAACCUUUAUCAAGGGAAGAUAUAUACUUGAUGGUGGAGUGAUUUUACAUGCAACAUUACGUGAAAUGAAGAGGAAGAAGUUAAAAGGAGUAUUUUUCCAAGUAGAUUUUGAAAAGGCACAUGAUAGUGUCAUUUGGGUUUUCUAGAAGAGGUGUUGAUGAGAAAAGGAUUUGGACAAUAGAUGUUGACUGGAUAAUGAGUACAGUACAUAAUGGUAAGGUAUGUAUUAACAUCGAUGGUGUGAAUGAACCAUAUUUUAAAACACAUAGGGGCUAAGACAAGGAGACCCAUUACCACCUUUACUAUUUAAUUUAGUAGGGGACGCUUUAGCACACAUACUAAACAAAGCAAAGGAAAAUAAACACCUUGGGGUUUGGUUCCUAGUUCCUGGUGGUUUAACCCAACUUCAAUAUGCAGAUGAUACUAUCCAUUCUUGGAGUAUAAUGAGCACAACAUUACAAAUUUGAAGGUUCUAUUAUACUGCUUCGAAUGGCUGACAGGUCUUAAAAUCAAUUAUCAUGAAUUAGAAGUGGUGGUACUAGGGGUUUAAAAGGAAUACCAAAUCAGGGUGCCAAGUAUGUUAAACUGUCGAGUUAGGAUACUGUCUUUGACUAAUUCAGGGAUUCUAUUAUCUAAUGAUCAUGUAGGGAUUAGCUAUUUUAGUAGAAUGAUAAGGUAAAAUGGAGAAACGAAUCAACCUUGGUAGGGGAAGAACAUGACUUAAGGGGGUAGGCUAAUCCUAACAAACACUUCUCUUAGUAGUCUGCCUAUAUAUACUAUGGGGAUGUAUAAUCUAAAGCAUUGGCAGAGCUUGAAGGGGUUCAAGCAGGGGCCAACAGUAUUUAAAUCAUAGCUGAUGUGUAAACCUUUAUUACUUUCUAAACAUUAAUCAUAAAAUUAACCAUAGAUACCAUUAAAAUUCAAUUGCCAAGGGUGGGCCAUGGCCCACUUUGGCCUCCAUGUAGCUUCGCCACUUAUCUAAAGGAAGGGGUCCACCAACAAAUGGACAUAUUAGAGCCAAAUUCUUUUGGCAAGGGGCUAGUGAGAAAUCUAAAUAUCACAUGGUCAAAUAAGAGAAUGUGUUUACCUAAAGACUUUGGUGGGUUAGGGAUCAUGUAUACAAGUAUGUAGAGGAUGCUCAAAGCAAAUGAUAAUGUUGUCUAUUAUAACCUUUUGAAGAAGUACCUUAGAAGGAAAUCUUUCUCACAAUGUGAGUUUAGCAAUGGGUCUCUGUUCUAGAAGAGAUCUAUGAGAAGUCUGGGGUAUACUUAACUAGAUCUAUGUACAAAAAAUAGAAUGUUUAGAGGUGUUGUGAAUUGAACAAGAGGAUGGUCAAACUCUAAGCUCCAAUGAAAAUCCGAGUUUUCAUGUGGAUGCACAUUCAAAUUAAGCUGCAAAUUGGGGUGAAUCUGAAGAAAAAGAAGUGGAAAGGUGAUAGAAAUUGUUGUCUAUGUGGGUGUAAUAGAAACUAGUGAACACAUAUUAUUCAACUGUAUCUUGGCUAAAACUAUUUGAAUAUGUUUCAAAGAGGUUUUGGGUUGGGAUAAAUUCCCAACACAUUCAAGAAGUCUUUUAUCAAUGGAUUGCUUUACAUUCUCAUAACUAUCAUAUUAAGUUGUUCAUCUUUUCUAUUAUUAUAUGGAUGAUCUAGAAUAUCCAAAAUAGAAUGAGUAUACAAAAAGUCUUUUUGGGGUCAUUGAAUGAAACAUUUGACAAUAUUUUUUGCUCUAUUACAUAAAUGGUGCAUACUUUUGAAGGGGGAAGUUCCUAGAAGACUUGCUCAAGAGAAUGAAGACGAGGCUAUAGGAUUUCUAGCAACAAACUAAGAAUUUAGAAGUUUUUGAACCAUUGACAGGUGAGCCAUUACCUAUUUUUAUUUUUUAAUAACCUAGCCUAGAAAUUUGUUACCAUGGGGAUUUAAGAGAAUGUAGAAGUCAAAGGACUCAUUUGAAAAGAAGUUAGUUUUAUGUUAGCUUAGAGUUGUAGGCUCCAUUAGUUAUCUUUGCUGGCUUAUUGUUGUUAGCUUAGUUGGCUCUUGUUGUUUUCAGCUGGGUGCUGCUUGUUUUCUCUAGCUGCAAGUGUGGUUGGGUUGGGUAGGAUCUUUCUGUCUUGUGUAGCGUUUUGAAGUUGUUGAGUGGUAGUUGGCUCUUGCCGGUAAGCUAGCAUCCCGAGCAUACUUAAUGUUUUGUGUUGCUUUAUAAAAUAGGUUUUUCCUCCAGAGAAAAUCUCAUCAACCUUUGAUUUCUUUACAGCUAAGAUUUUUCUUUGUCUACUUCAAAUGGAGUAGGUAUAUACGACAAAAUGUAUUGGGAUUCUAAAAAUUGUGCAGCCAAACUAGUCUAACCUUGACUAAAAAUAAUAAUGGUGGCCUACAAUGUUUUUUGAAGGCUGAUAAUAUAAAAUAUUUCUUUGACUAAAAUUAAGAUGUCUUACCAAACUUCCAACCAAGAGAUGCAACCACCCCCAUGCCUGCAUUGAUUUUAAUGAUGAGCAUAUUAGUUGCUUAGUUAAUAACUUCAUUUACGUCUUCCUCCUUGACCCCCUAUAUAAGAUGCCCUGGUAAACCAUCAAAGCCCCACAACCAAAAAAUUGUCGAAGGGGCAAGGCACAAGUCUUUCAUCUUUUAAAUCUUCAGGUAAUUGAUUAUUAUAUGAUCUUGCAUAGCCUAAUGUGAAAAAUAUAUAUUUUGUUCUUUUUCCUGUAUAGUUGCAUGUCUUGUUUCACCAAACAUGAUAUAUCUAAUGGCGCCUAUCAAUCUUGGUCUUGUUUUGUGUGCUUAGCCAUGAGCUUGUGGAGGAACAAUAAGAAUGGUGGCUCUGCUGGCAGUAGUGCGAAAAGCACACCGUUGGACCUACAACUACGACUAGCACUACCAACAGAGAGGGUAGAGGUUGACCAUGGCAAUGAUAAUGAAUUGUCAUCAUCUAGCUCAUGUGUAUCAUCAAAUAUUUCAUCAGAUGAAAGCUUGGUGCUAGUGCUCGGUGGUUGUGCAUGGUGCAAGAGGUACUGCAUGGUAAUGAAGAAGGAAUUCCCCACCUGCAUCAACUGCAAGGAGCCCUGCCUUAUCGGCUUCAACUGUAACGAGAAACAUGGCUAGAGCAAGUAGAGGGUAGACCAACAUGUUAGAGGUCCUACCGCUAGGGAUGCUCAUGUUGAUGGUUAUUUGGACAUUGUGCUUGAUCUUGAGGCAUAUGGUAGAAAUGACCUUCAGUCAAUUUUGCAUUGGAUAUGGUCUAUUUGGUUCAGUAGAUAAGGCUAGCUAGCUAGUAGAGUCUAAGCUUAGUUUCCUAUAUGUUAUAUUUUUUAUGUCUUGUAUGGGGUAUGCACUAGGUGGUUCUUAAAUGAUUGUAAUUGUCACAGUGCUCUGAUUAUUGAGUUCUUUUAAAGAUUUGCUUCAAACAUGCUACUAUGAAUUUGAACAAAUUGUUGGGUUCUUCUAUGUUAUUUGGGGAAAAUAUUUCCCCGUGGGAUGGGGAUGGAGAUCUAACCCCCGAUGGGGAAUUCCCUGUUGACAUCUCUAUAGAUGUCACUUAGCUGUUAACUCUCUGUUAAAUAGUGCUGAAAAGGACAAGACUGCCCCUCUGAACAAGAUAAAUUUGGCUGUUCCUAUUCAUGCCAUUGUUUUAGAGGAUUAAAUCUAAAGUGAAUUUGCAAUCGCCCAUGUGACCAAAUAUGAAUUUUGAACAAAGUCUAAAUUUGGAGUCACCGAAUAUUUAUAACCAACAUGAACAUAUCAUUGUUUCAUAUCAGCAGUACAAAAGUCAAUAGUUUUCUAACUUGGUAGCAUAAUGUUUCCAUGAAACAUUGCAUAGACAGACCACAUCAUUUGUCAAAGUGGUUCAGAGGCCCAAGCAAAAAAAGCACAUGUUCAGGUACAUGUCACUAUGAACAGGUGCCCGAGCAAAAUAACUGCAGCUUCAGGUCACUAACUACAUACUAUGACCAUGCAAAACAGAUAAAGAACAAUUCGACAUUCAAUCUGUGUUUGAUUGAGCUUUUGAAAAGUGCUUUUGUUGGAAAAAAGCAGAAAGUCAACCAAACAGUUGAAACCUGAAGUUACUUUUUCCAUAAGCAGUUGCUCUCGUGUACUGCAGUUUUGAAAGCACCUUGAAUCCUGCUUUUGGCUUUUGGCUUUCUGCUUUUUAAAAUGGGUGAUAAUAGGGAGCUGUUUCACAGCUAUUUUAAUUGAGAUAGAGACAAAGAGUGGAUUUUAUACUUAUUUGAACCACACAGCUUGCAGCUAGCUUUUACAUAACACUUAGUUCACAACAGCUUUUUCAUGGCUCACAGCUCAUAACUCACAGCAACUUUUUCACAGCUCACAUCUUAACCAAACAGACCAUCAAUCUAGAACUUUCCUCUUAAUUCUUGUGCUGAGGGAAGGACUCCUAGUCUUGCUUCUUGUGCCCAUGGCAGGACUAUUUGGUUGCAUUGAAGCUUGCUUAUUCUUGCUCUUCUCUCCAGCCUUUGCCUUUACUUUGUCCUCUUCAUUCUCUCUUGGCUUGGAGGCAAGAACAACUGCAACGAGUGACCUAAAAGUAUUUUUUAUAUAUAUUAAUAGAAGAGAGAGAAAAGCUAGCUCUUGAUCAAGGGCUAGACUUAUACGUACAUUUCAAGAACACGUGAGUGUCAUGUGAGUCUAAUAAUACGAUGAGCCAUUACUAAAAGCUAACACUAUCGGAGAGGAUGGCUUCGAUCUAGUAACUUAUUCUUACUUUUGCUGGUUUCCUUAGGUUUAGUGUAGCUUUGCAUGAAGUUGGCACAACAGGAUACUCAAUCGAAAGUGGUUUAGGUUGAUUAGGGCCAUUUGCAAUGAAAAAACAACACAAAAAUUGACUAUUGCAAUUCACAAAGUUACCUUUAUUGUUACAUUCUAGGCAAUCUUAGAAACAUGUAUCCUUCGCUUACAUUUUGCUUCUUUCGUCGUUGAACGGUAGGCCCUGAUUCUCCAUGGUUCACUCUUUUAAGUGUUACAUUGGAAUUCAUUCUUGAUUUCUCGCUGAGGUAAUGCCAACUUCUAACCUGUUGGGAUUUAUGCUUCCUACCAUCUUUUUUCGCAAAGGGAAGGAGAGAUUUAUAUUAAAUCUUGACACGGUGCAUCCUCAAAUCACACAUGAAAGAAAAAUCUGAAAUAAAAAAUAAAUAAUAUUCUAUGCAAAUUCUUCUGUCAUCUUCUUCCUCAAUGGCUUUCCUCAAACGCCGGAGCCAAAGUGAAGCCUUUAUGUUGAAUUCAAAUGAGAUUGAUAACCCGGAGUCACUCCUCGUAGGGGCACCCAGAAGUAUCCCUCCCCUUGCAGAUAAAGGCCACAAAUUGACCGUCUGCCGAUGAAAUCUAUGCUUGCAAUGACAAUCUCGCCGUGGCAAUCACCGAAGGCAUCGUAGGACACAUGAUCCUGAUAAAAAAUCAUCUAAUUUCGUUGGAAAUUUAUUUGGGCUCAAUCCUUAGACACUAGAAAAGUACGAAAAAAAGAUGAGUCCCCUCCCCUUCUUGUCUCCGGUAGACACAUCGAAGAGGAAGGAGAUGGGCCCUAGGCGUGACGUCGUCAUCAGCGGAGCGAGGAGCAGGCAGGCUACGGUUUGACUCUUGGCGGCAGUGGCGUGAUAAGAUGCGGGCGUCUCUCCUACCGUCAUUGGAGGGUCAACUUUACCAUAUAAAACUGGUGUCUGCUAUAGAAGCUAUAGUAACACGCUGCACAGUGAUUGCAUUGCAGUGAUAGAUAAAAAAUUAAGUGUUAUGGCAGAUAAGGGAAGAUGACAAUUUUGGAUGGCGGAUAAUAUAAGGAAUGUACUCUUCAUUCAAUUCCUACAAAACAGCGCCUCAACAAUAUAUUUACAUUUGACAUAAGGCUGUUUGUUCGUCUAGUAACCGUACUCUGGCUAAUUUACAACUACUCUCACCAAGAAACAAAAUAUAUAAAUCAUGACUACAUUUCUGCAGUAUAUAAUUUGUGAAUAUAAUUUCUUCUUCAAAUAUAAGUAUGUCUAGUCAUGGCGACACAACCGACAACCGUCAUGGUUAUCCUAUUUCGGGGAGGGGGCAAGAAGGAAACGAAGAGUCACAUUUAUUCCAUGAAUGCGAGUCGACUGCUCUGCGGCUACCAUCUGGCCAUCUCCAUCUCCCAUCUCGCCAUACAGAGCAAGCCACCAAAGGCGCAAAGCUGAGCAGAGGGCAGAGCCACAGAGGCAGAGCGUGAGGCAAAAGUAAGCCUGCAAAGCCAUUGUGGCAAGGCGCCAAGGUACAUCUCCAAUGUCCACUACGUGUCUACGUUUAGUAGUUUAUUUAUUUAUUUAUUCAUUCCUUUCACUGUUUCACAGAACACAAACGGCUGUUAAUUCUAUCAUUUCUAUGGUUAACUUCCUUUUUUAAUUUUUACCUUCAAUUUAGGCAUUUAGCAUUUGAUCAAGAAUGCAAGAUGAAGAGAUCAAGAACGCUCGAUAGUUUUUUUAAGCCGAGUUCAAGCAAUGGCAACGGUGAAAACACUAGCAAUCAAUAACAAUGAUGUGUUGUGCCGAACUCUCCAGAAGAAAUGUCUACAUAUUGUAAAUGCAAUUGACUGCGUUUCUAACACAAAAUCAUUGUCUAGCGACUUGAAAUGAUGACUGGGAACCACUUCUUGAGGAGGUCAACGCUUUUCGUGACAAGCACGAGUUGAGAUUCCAGAUUAUCGCAAGUAAGUUAUUAUCUUACCUUCAGUUUUUUUAAUAUGAGCACAAAUACAUUUUUUUAUUCUUAUGAUACAUAUCUAACUUGUUUAACAUGAGCACUUGGGAUACCAAGCUAGUGAAGGACCUGUUUUGGGAAGAAGUGCUGAACAUUUUGGCCACCCCGGUGCAUACUGAUCGAGAAGAUACUGUGGCAUGGCACUUUGAUCAGAAAGUUUUUAUUUUCGGUCAAAUCGGCUUACCAUGUGCUGGAGGAUGAAGCUGAGAUUAAGCGAGUCCGACAGAGAGGUGAAUCAUCUAGACCACCAAACAGUGCUGGCAGCAAUAUUUGGAAGAAAAUAUGGAAACUCCCUGGACCUCCUAAGAUCAAGCAAUUUGUGUGGAGGGUUGCUCACAACAGCUUGGCACUCAAACAAAACAUUAGCAGGCGUGGAAUUCGACUGGAUACUAGAUAUCCGGUGUGUUUCCAUUUCGAUGAGGAUGGUGGUCAUUGUUUUUUGAAGUGCAAAGCUAUCCGGCAGUGUUGGAGGGAGUUGGGAAUUGAGAAGUUCAGACUUCAGUUUCUGCAAACCAGAACAGCUGAGGAGUUUGUAACAGAAGUGUUGAAACUGAGAACUGAUGUGUUGGAACCAAACUCGUGAUGAACAAGUCUGGCGGCGGCGGGUCACCGGCAGGUGGUGAACACGCGGCGGCUAAAACCCUACGGCGAGCUCUGUGCGCGAACAGAAAAUAUGGAAAGCAACAAGACACCGAGAUUUCGUGCCAAAUGCGGGCACCUCGCCAAUGCAAUCUUUGUUGGUUUAUAUAUGGCCUGAGGCCUUACACCCCGCCGCCACGACGCCUCCAACGAUCCUCCGAUUUUCCGGAACGCCGCUGGGACAUGCAAGACGACGUCGCGACGGGGACACAAUGCAGUGCGCGGUCACCGCGUGGUUCUUGCACAUCUUCGAACCACCGGCGAUAUCUACGCGCCUAACCAACUACGUUACAUAAAACUUCGACAGGAUUACAUGAAUGAAACACAAAGCUAAAGCUAACAAAUCACCCCCUAAUCCUGACGAACUAGAACGACGCCGAGCUUGACUCUGAAUUCCGCAAACUUCAUUCUCCCCAAGGGCUUCAUCAGAAUGUCAGCAACCUGCUCGUCUGUUCUUACAUGGUCCACAUCCAGGACGUUCUUCUCAAUGCAGUCACGAAUGUAAUGAUACCGUGUAUCAAUGUGCUUACUGCGAUCAUGAAACACUGGGUUCUUGGCUAGCUCGAUAGCAGACUGGUUAUCGAUGAGAAGUCUGAAUUUCUGAACUUCUCCUCUAUCAGCCGACUGAGCCACACUCCCUGACAGGCUCCCAAUGCUGCAGCUAUGUACUCAGCUUCACAAGAAGAUAGAGCCACGACCCUUUGUUUCUGUGAAGCCCAGGUCACCAAAUUUGAUCCAAGGUAGAAUAUGAUGCCUGAAGUACUUUUCCUAUGCACCAAGUCACCUUGACAGUCACUGUCAGUAUAACCAAGCAGGUUCAGACCAACAUCAUCUCCUUUCUGAAGCUUGCAUCCAUAGUCCAGAGUUCCUGCAAUGUAUCUCAGGAUUCUUUUGACCAAGGACCAAUGCUCCUUUGCUGGUUCCUUGAGAAAUCUACUGGCCACACCAACUGAGUAAGCAAUGUCAGCUCUGGUGUUAACUAAGUAUCUCAAACUGCCCACCACACUCCUGUAUCUUGUCACAUCAAGUUCAGAGCCAGGUACUGCAGUAGUGAGUCUCAUUCUUUCCUCCAUUGGAGUGUCAACAGGAUUGCAUCUUGCCAUGUUGCAUGAUUCUAGGAUCUUCAAAGCAUAUGCUCUCUGACAGAUAGUAAUAUGGUCUUUGCCUUGAUUCACUUCCAUGCCCAAGUAAUAACUCAAUAGUCCCAGAUCACUCAUGCUGAAAAUUGCCUUCAUCUGAUCUUUGAACUGAGCUAUCAAUUUACUGCAUGGACCACAUAUUAUUAGAUCAUCAACAUAAACUCCAACUAGAAGUAAAGAGGCUCCUGUUCCUUUCUUAUAGACUGCAUGCUCUACAAUGCUUCUCUGAAAACCCAUUGCUUUCAAUUCCAGAUCCAGCCUUGCAUUCCAGGCUCUGGGAGCCUGUUUGAGUCCAUACAGUGCUUUAUUCAACUUCAACACCUUGCCAGGGAGAGCUGCAUCAGUGAAACCUGGUGGUUGAUGGACACACACCUGCUCCUGGAGAUCACCAUUUAGGAAUGCUGAUUUCACAUCCAUAUGAUGUACUUGCCAAUCUCCAUGUGCUGCAAGAGCUAACAUUAGCCUCACUGUCUCAAUCCUUGCAACUGGUGCAAAAACCUCAUCAUAGUCUACUCCUUGCUUCUGUGCAUAGCCUUUGGCCACCAGCCUAGCUUUAUGCUUAACUAUCUUCCCUGCUGCAUCUCUUUUGACCUUGAAAACCCACUUCAGGCCAAUUGCUCUGACACCUUUAGGCAGAUCUGUCAGAGUCCAGGUGUUGUUCUCUCUGAUGGCUUUUAGCUCAGCCUCCAUAGCAUCCCUCCAGCAGGAUUGUCCGAGAGCUUCUUCAACACUAAAUGGCUCAUCAGCAGCAAGCAGACAAGUAGCACUAUACUCAUAAUUCUCCACCUCAUCAGUGUGGUCAAAUAGGUCUUGCAGAGUUCUGUACCUGAGUGGAACUCCCUCUGAGUCAGCCUCCUGCCCAUGUGGAGGUGUGACCCACUGAUGAUCUGGUUGAGCUGCUGGAGGUGUGUUCAAACCUGCAGAUCCCUGGACACUCCCAGGUGGCGUUUGGGGCCAAUUAGGUGCUGCAUUACCGUUACCAGGGCUGCCAAGGACUAGUUCUGCAUCAUUCUCCCCUGUUGCCGGAUCUGCAACAGUACCAGGAAAAUCAACAAUGAACUGAUCUGGUUGAUUCUUUCCUGUAGCAAAACUGGUCCAAUCCCAGGCUUGAUCUUCCUCAAAAAUCACGUCCCUGCUAAUAUGCAGACUUUUUGUGACAGGUUCCAGCAUCCUGUAGCCUUUAGUCCCUUCUUCAUAUCCUAUGAACACCAUUUUCUGGGAUCUGUCAGAUAGUUUAUGAAUGCCAGGUCCUAGUUUCUUCACAUGACCGAUACAUCCAAAAAUUCUCAUGUGCUUCACACUGGGUUUCCUUCCAUGCCAUGCCUCAUAUGGUGUGACACCAUUUAGGCUCUUAGUUGGAGAUCUGUUAAGCACAUACACUGCAGUUGCUACUGCUUCUCCCCAAAGACAGGCUGGAACCUUCUUACUCUUCAUCAUGCACCUAGCCAUUUCAACCACCGUUUGAUUUCGGCGUUCCACCACUCCAUUCUGCUGGGGAGUGUAGGGAGUGGUGGUGUGGUGCUUUAUGCCAAACUCACUGCAGAAAACACUGAACUGGGUAGAAUUAAAUUCACCCCCCCUGUCAGUCCUCACAGCCUUGAGCUUGCUUUCAGAUUCAGUCUCAGCUCUAUUCUUCACCUUCUUGAAAUAAGCCAGUGCCUCACUUUUGGUCUUCAACAUCUCCACCCACAUAAAUCUGCUGUAGUCAUCCACAACCAGCAAGAAAUAUGCCUUCCCACCUAAGGUUGGUGGGGUUAUCUGACCACACAGAUGAGUAUGGAGUAGUUCAAGUCCCUUCUCUGCACGAUAAUGAGCAACGCUUGGAAAAGGAAUUCUGUGCUGCUUGCCUACGACACAGCCAUCACAGACCUGCUCAACUCUAUUGAUCACAGGAAUGCCAGACACCAUGCCCUUUCGACCAAGAUCCCUCAAAGAUCUGAAAUUCAAAUGGCCAAAUCUUGCAUGCCACUUCCAAGCAUCAUCAUCUAGCUUACUCAACAAACACACUGGUGAAGUUAAACUGAAACUAUGAGUAUACAGGCAAUUUGCAGUUCUAGGAGCUGAGAUUAGCAAGGUGUGUCCAUCUAGAUCAAAAACAUUGCAUCUUCCAUCUUUCAAUGACACUUCAAACCCCUUCUCUUCAAGCUGGCCUAAACUGACUAUGUUACUUUUUAACUUGGGAAUAUAGUAAAUGUCAGUUAGUACCUUGUGCUCCUGCCGACGUCCCUGAAUCACCAUGGAUCCAAGUCCCUGUAUCUCCACACUAGAACCAUCACCAAACUUGACAGUCCCACGAAUCCUUUCAUUCAGAUGAGUAAGUGCUGCACGACAGCCUGUCAUGUGAUUGCUAGCUCCUGUGUCUAGCACCCACACACCUUCUGGACAAUCUACAGGCACCACCCUGUUUUCUGUCAGAUGCACCUGCUCAACUGAAUCAGCAGUGACAUUACAGGCCACAGCAACAAACAGAGCACCAUUGUGCUCAGCUCCACCCACUGCAACAUUAGCCUCCGGCUGCUUCUCUUCUUUCUUCUGCUUCUUGGGUCUUUUACAAUCUUCAGCCCAGUGACCAUACAUGCCACAGUUUCUGCACCUCCCUUUGCGGCGAGGUGUUCCUUCUGAAGUUAGCUUCACAGUGCCGGCGUUCUUGGGCCCUCCACCAUCUGAUCGAUGCGGCUGCUUGCCCUUUCCUUGCCCAGCUGCACUGCUACCUCCUUCUCGGCUCUGAGUGGGUUGGAAACGGUGCUUGUGUUUCUCAAGCCACUCUUCUUCUGCAAGCAUCAAACGCCCCAUCUUAUCGGUGAUUUGAUCCUCAGUGCUGACAAAACGAUCCUCGGCUACACGCAGUCGUCCAACCAAUUCCUCCACUGUCAGGGUUUUCAAAUCACAGAACAUCUCAAUAGAUACUGCAACUUGAUUGAAUCUGGCUGGUAACACACGCAGAAAUUUCUUGACAACACGAGGUUCAUCAAUUGUCUCACCGAGGGUUUUGAGGGUGGUGACGAGGUUCACGAUUCGCAUGCCGAAGUCCUCCACGCUUUCCCCGUCCUUGAACUCGACAUUCUCGAAUUCCUUGAUGAGCUUCUGGACAUUGAUCUCCUUCACGCGAUCCGCACCGACCUUCAUGGUCUUCACCGCCUCCCACGCUUCUUUCACCGUCUUCUUGGCGCCAAGUGCUCCCCACAUCUCCUUGGGGACUGAUCUCAUCACCGCACCCAUCGCUUGUCGAUCUUCGGCUCUCUUGACGUUUGUUCCGGGAUCUAUUGUAUCCCAGAUCUCGAGAGCCUCAAGAUUGAUUUGCAUCAGCAUAGCCCACUCUACAUAGUUUGAGCGGGUUAGCAUCGGCCAAAUCAACGAACUCUCCUUGACACCGCUGGACUUCGAGGUUUCGCCUCCUGUCAUCUCCUUCCUUCUUCUUUUCGCCUAGCACUGCUGUACCGUGAUCGAUUCGAGACCCACGGCUCUGAUACCAGAUGUUGGAACCAAACUCGUGAUGAACAAGUCUGGCGGCGGCGGGUCACCGGCAGGUGGUGAACACGCGGCGGCUAAAACCCUACGGCGAGCUCUGUGCGCGAACAGAAAAUAUGGAAAGCAACAAGACACCGAGAUUUCGUGCCAAAUGCGGGCACCUCGCCAAUGCAAUCUUUGUUGGUUUAUAUAUGGCCUGAGGCCUUACACCCCGCCGCCACGACGCCUCCAACGAUCCUCCGAUUUUCCGGAACGCCGCUGGGACAUGCAAGACGACGUCGCGACGGGGACACAAUGCAGUGCGCGGUCACCGCGUGGUUCUUGCACAUCUUCGAACCACCGGCGAUAUCUACGCGCCUAACCAACUACGUUACAUAAAACUUCGACAGGAUUACAUGAAUGAAACACAAAGCUAAAGCUAACAAAUCACCCCCUAAUCCUGACGAACUAGAACGACGCCGAGCUUGACUCUGAAUUCCGCAAACUUCAUUCUCCCCAAGGGCUUCGUCAGAAUGUCAGCAACCUGCUCGUCUGUUCUUACAUGGUCCACAUCCAGGACGUUCUUCUCAAUGCAGUCACGAAUGUAAUGAUACCGUGUAUCAAUGUGCUUACUGCGAUCAUGAAACACUGGGUUCUUGGCUAGCUCGAUAGCAGACUGGUUAUCGAUGAGAAGUCUGAAUUUCUGAACUUCUCCUCUAUCAGCCGACUGAGCCACACUCCCUGACAGGCUCCCAAUGCUGCAGCUAUGUACUCAGCUUCACAAGAAGAUAGAGCCACGACCCUUUGUUUCUGUGAAGCCCAGGUCACCAAAUUUGAUCCAAGGUAGAAUAUGAUGCCUGAAGUACUUUUCCUAUGCACCAAGUCACCUUGACAGUCACUCAUACCUCAAGAUUAAUAUGGAUGGUGCCUUCAAGCAGGAUUCCAGGGCUGGCGCUUGGGGCUUUAUAAUCUAGGACCAUGAGGGUUAUGCUGUCCUGGCGGGGGCGGGGAACCUCGGUCCGGUGCAUGAUGAUGCCCUGCUCGCAGAGACGAUGGCAUGCAAAUAGGCACUAGAAGCAGCGGAGCAUUUCGGUGUUUCCAGGUGGUGCUCGAUCGAGACCGACUCCUCCCAGCUGAAUGAUGUGAUCACUUCGUCAUCUAGUGACUUAUCUAUUGGUGGUGGUCUAUUUACAGACAUCCGUAGUAUUCUCCAGGAUAGCUUUAAUUGCAUAAAUAUUUGUAAGAUUCUGAGAUUAUGUAACUCGUCUGAGCACGAGCUUGCUAGUUUGGGUAUGAGUUGGGACCUAGGUCAGUUAUGUGUAUGGACUGAUCACCUCCCUGAUUUUGUAACUCAUUGGAUUGCCCGUGAUUUGGCUAAGCUUCAGUCGCUUAAUACAAGGCCAUAGAUCCUGGUUAAGGAUAAAAAAACUUGUUUAACUACAUGUCGCAAUUUGUAGGCAUGUGGAUGUGACCAAAUCUUAGAACAAAAAUGAUAAUACCACCACUCUUCCUAUUAUAAAAUAGAUAUUUUUAAUGUUACCAUGACCAACAAUUGAUAGAGUUGGAAGUUCGUUUCAGUUCUCAAACAACAAAGCUUCUAUCACUUUGUGCCUCACUAGAUCCAAGAAAAGAUGGUUUUGACAUUUGAAAGAUAAGUACACUUGUGGAAAAGUACUAUCCCGCUGAUUUUUAAAGUUAAGAUCAAGCUCAAUUGGAGUGUCAACUACCACAAUUUCAUCUUGAUGUAUGCAACCAUCUAGAGCUAAGUACAUGGCAUCACUUGCUGAUAUAAACCAUCUACUUGGGACUAGUGAGAUUAGGUAAAAAUUCUAUUUGUCGAAUGGAUGAUAGAUUGCUAAGAUUAGUCAUAACUCUUCCAGAAUCAAUAGUGACUAUUGAGAGUCUUUUCAGCCAUGAAACUUUCCAAGAUAGGAUAAAAUGGGAGAUGGCGUUUUGCAAAGCUAUAGUUUAUAUUAAAAAGGAAUUGGCAGCCAAGAAUAGUUCCAGUGAUAUUAUCAAAUCACUACCCCAGCAAACUUUUUUUGUGACAGAGGAAACCGUCAGGAAAGGUACCGAAAACCGUCAGGAAAGACUUUUCGUGACGGCCCCGUCAGGGAUAAUCCAUCAGGACCAACUGUCACGGAAAGUACACCUUCCCUGACGGAAAACCGUCAGUAAUCAUUCCCUGACGGUAGUAACCGUCAGAAAAGAAUUUUUGUGUCGUUUUUCCCGCUCCCGUAAAAUGUUUGUUGUCGGUUCCACUACCGUCAGGGAAGGUGGAGACUUUCCCUGCCAGUUAUGGUACCGUCAGGGAAGGUUCGUGCUUCCUGUUAGUAAGCUCAAUUUUUAAUAUCAAUAAGCUCAUUGAACUAUGGUCUAGUUGGUAAUCAUCGUGCUAAAUUCAAGUUAGUGGAGAUGUAAUGAAAGUACCUUCUUUUAUGUUACUAGACGUAUGCUACAUUACUUUGCUAUAUGUGUUAUGAUUGAAUUUAUACGAUAAUAUAUAUGUGUAUGAUUAGAAAUAACAUGCUAGCCAGUGCUUUCCUAUCACCGCAUGUUGUCACCAUCCACAUCCAUGCCAAACAAACAACUUCCAAAAUGCAUCACCACCUGUCAAUUUGACCAUGAGUUGAGGCUGCCGUCUUCAUCCACGACGUCUUCCAGCCACACCGUCGAACCUAGCCAUCACCCGACCCCGCCACCAGCCGUCAUCAAUCGAAUCUCCAUGUCUAGACAGAUCCAUGUUGAUUGCAGUCCAUUGGAUGGUUCAAGUCACCCACUCAAAGUUUCCAAAUCCAUGGAUCAAGUCAUUGAUUGCCGCCAUGCUCCACCUUGUGCCAUGUCCUUCCCUAGACACACCUGUGUGAGGCUUGCACAUAGUGGAACAUAACCAUCGCACCUCUCAUGAUCUUCUUCUAUGAAUCUGAAUCUUGAUACCACUUGGAUUGGAUCCGCUGCACACUCUAACACUCUAGAAGAGCUAUUCGGCAAGCCACCAUCUUUGCACACUAGGCAUCAUGUACAACAUCUAUUGAUCCAGCACCGACCAUGACCACUGAGCCUUGAUGAUCACGAGCAAUAAAACCCCAAUCGCCCUUGUACUUACUAAAAGGCUCAGACUUGGCCUAAAGGCAAAACAAUGGUUCACACCCACCCGGUAGUUAUCUUCAAGUCGUCGUCUACCUCCGUGAGAAAUAAAAAAUAACACAUGCAAAACCAUGGCCGCCGCACAAGGUGAGAGAGAGAAGGGAGGUUCACUAGUGCAAGGAGGUCUGGCGGCCGCCAGACCAUGCCAUAUUGGUGGACUUGUGCUAAUCAAAAUAAUCACACACUAUUAGCAUCCCAAAUUACCUUGAGUGUCCAAAACCGCCAAGGAAAAUACCUAAUCCACCAAGAAAAUGAUCCUUGGCCACAAAUUGUCAAUCAAACUCCAUCAAGGAUAGAAGAUAAGAGAAAUUGGUUUCCUUAGCUUUUUUGACAAUUAAGGAUGAUUUCCUCCGGCCACCAAGGAAACUAGGGCCACAUCUAAUUCGCCAAAGGGAUAAGAAAAUGUUGCAACCGCCAAGUAAAUUAGUUUUCUUGAGGGCUAGCAUCCUUCAAAAAAAUAUUUGUAACCAUAUAGGAAAUAGUUUUCUUGAGGGCCAGCAACCUCCAAAGUAAUAUAGAGUAAGAGCAAUAAAUAAAUGAGUGAAAGCCCAAUAUAAUAAUGUGCCUUAUGGGAUUCAAACAUGUGGCCUGAUGCUUCGAGUUGAAGCACACUCACCACUGCACCUCAGAGUAACUUGUGACUAAGUGAAUUAUUGUUUUUAUUUUGUAUUCACUUUAUGAAAUCUUAUAAUGCAUAUUUUGUGGUCCUAAACAAUUUUAAAUGUAAAACAUUUGAACUGAAAAAGUUUUAGAACUUGAUGAAUACAACAACAUUGGUUUAGGACGAAUUUUCAUCCGAGGUUAUUUGAAAAAUCAAAUAAAUUUGAAUUUUAAUGCUAUGAGUAUUUUCUUGGGGGUUUCCAAUUGCACCCAAGAAAAUAUGAAUUACCUUGCUGGUUUCGAAAACCACUCAAGGAAAUACAAAUUACCUUGACGGUUUUGAAUAGCACCCAAGGAAAUGAGCAAUUACCUUGCCGAUUUGUAAUAACACUCAAGGAAACAUGGAAUUCCCUUGGAGGUGAUUAGAAACUGCCAAGGAAACACCCAUAUUCUUUGGCGGGUUACUUCAACAUCUAAGGAGUACACGUUUCCUUGAAGUUCAGUAACACUCCCAAGAAAACUUUACUUUCCUUGGCAGUUUUGCUUUUGACCCUCAAGAAAAUUCCUAGCACUAAAGGUAAUUCAGGAUUGCGAUAGUGACAAGUUGGUCUUCUUUGGGGUUGCAGCCACUAUUUGGGCAAGCAUAAUGAUCUUAUUUUUGAGAAAAAAGGUGCCACCUCCUUUAUGUAUAGGCUAGCUUUAGAAGAACAUGUUGGCUGUGUUUUUGGGUAUUGCUGCAGCGUGAGGACACAAGGGAGACCACCUGAUCGGUGAACAAAGCUUUGUAAUCGUUGCUUUAGAUAUUUUCGCCAAGAAUAGAUGUAGAAACAAUAAUAGAUUUUUUUUAUUUUCCCUAUAAUUUUGUAUUCUCUUGCCGGUUGGAUUGUAAUCACCAGAUGAGCUGAAAACUUUGCAAGGACUUGGUUGUGCGUCUCACUCUGCUAGUGGGCUGUAAUCCAAUCUGCUAGUGGGCUGUAAUCCAAUCUAUACCCACACCAAUCCACGUUUCAGCAUGCAGCUUGUGUCACCAGACUAAAUUAAUCCAAGCAAUGGCGGGAACCAAACUAUUUGGCAAAUAGUCUCUACAUGAUAUAAAACAAACCCAAUCCAUGUGCCAACCCAUGGGUCCUAUCCAUUAGAUACUAAUUUACUUAUCCACGGUUGCGCUGCAUGACUCAAGACACUGCAGACGCAAGCAAGGAAGCAACCUAAAUGAUUAACUAAUUUUAAAAAAUAGCAGCAGGAAAGCUAUUAAUAGCCAAAGAGAAUGGAUUAUACAAUUCUAAAUUAGGUGAAAGAAGACUUUGACAAAUUAAGAGACAAAAAUUACAGCUCCAAACAAAUUAGGAAACUAGACAUAAUUUAUACAUCAUUUUUUUUGUUGAGAAUGGUGCUAAUGAAAAAAUAGACUCAACAUGCCAAGCAUAACUCCAUCCAGCUAAAGCUUCAUUGAAAGUUCAGUGAUCCGCUUCCUGAAUUGUCCCUUUGUAGUGAUACCAGCACAACUUCUCAGCUAUAUCAUGAACUGCUGAAGAUGAAAAAUAUAACUGUAAGAACAUUAUGCCGGAAGAAAAUAGUCUCUACUCUACAUGAUAUAAAAGCAUAGUCACUAUAAUUAUUUAAUCAUUGGCAUUCUAUAAUUGCAAAGCUCUGGGAGACUAAAGUUUCAGUUUCUGUGUAAUCUAUAAUGAACAGUUGUUGUGCAAAUGCAGAGUUCUGAAUUUGAACUUUUCCUACCACAACAUGGAACCUGAAAUCUGAACUAUAUGUUAGAUGUAUAUAUGUGAUAUUGUAUUUUCUCUUUUUUGGAGGUUCUCCUUGUAUAUGUACACAACAUGUAUACUUGCCCCUUUGGGCCUAGAAUAUGAAGUUAGUUGACCACUUAUUCUAACAUGGUAUCAAGCUAGGGUUCCAAUCCUCACCUUGCUCCCGCCGGCGCCAGCAACCCGCCCACACCCGCGCGCCUGCUGCCCGCCCUCGCCUGCAGCCUCGCGGAGAGCUUGCCGGCGGCCUUGCGGUCCGCGCGCCGGCGCCCGUCCACCCCUGCUCGUCCGACGCGGCCUCGCCCGGCGUCCGCCCUCGCCCCGACGCGGCCUCGCGAAGGGCGAGCCGGCGGCCUUGCGGUCCGCGCGCCGCGCCUCUGCUCGUGCGCGCCAGGCCGGCGUCCACCCUCGCCCCGACGCGGCCUCGCCCGGCGUCCGCCCUCGCCUGCGGCCUCGCGGAGGGCGAGCCGGCGGCCUUGCGGUCUGCGCGCCGCCCGCCCAGGCCACCGCGGCCUCGCCCGUUGCGGCCCGCGCGUCCUCUGUCUGCGUUCGGCUGCUUCUCCUCUCUUCCCAAAAAAAAAAAAAAACAGCCGAGAGGGGAAGCAGGACACGGUUUGUUUCCAUGGCGUCCCCCAGCCGCACUCGUCCGGGUGCCAUUCCUGUUCCCAAGUGUCCAGUCAUCUUCAAUGGCACAAACUGGGCCGAUUUUGUUUUUCAUAUGGAGGUGCACAUGGAUGGGCAGCUGCUGUGGAACUACCUUACGGGCGAUCUGAUCUGUCCUACUAUUCCAAUUCUUCCUAAGCAGCCCACCUAUCCUCCAGAUGCUGAUGAUGCAGCCAAACAUGCUCUCCUUGAUGCAUUUGAGGCUGAGAUGGAGACCUAUCAAUCUGAUCUUGGCGUCUAUGAGACUUGGCUGCGUGAGGAAAAAUCGGCCAAGGCCAUCUUACUUGCAAGCAUAGAGAUUGAUCUUGCACGCUCCCUCAGAGGUCUUGCCACCUCCCACCUCAUGUGGGAAUAUCUUCGUUGCAGUUAUGAGAUCCGCAAUGAGGCGAUGUACCUUGCUGUUGUUGAGGAGGCACAGUCACUUCGUCAGCUUGAUUCUACAGUUGACGACUUCCACCGCAAGAUGACUGAUGUCUGGCAUCGCCUAGACAAUUUGGGGGCCGAGUUCUGUGGUGGUGGUACUUGUCGGUGUUGUGACCGGCACCGGGAGCAGCGCGACACACUCCGUCUCCACGAGUUUCUCUCUCGGCUGCGUCCAGAGUUUGAGACUGUUCGGGCACAGCUACUGACUCGUCGCCCGCGCCCGUCGCUUGCCGAGGCGAUGCCUGAGCUGCGAGCUGAGGAGACUCGUCUUCGGACUGGAGGGGUCAGCCAUCCUCAACUGCAGCCGGCUGUUCUGGUGGCUACACCCCCACCAGUCUCCCUACCUUCGCCCCAGUCUGCGGUGGUGGCGGGGGUCCCCUCUGGUGUGCGGUGUGACUACUGCAAGAUUUAUGGUCAUGAGGAGAAGGAUUGUCGUAAGAAGCAGCGCAACCGCUAUGACGCCGUGAUCGGCGCCACUCUUCAGGCUCUGGUGGUUCCUCUACUCCGCAGGGCACUCGUUCUGUGUCUGCAGCCGAGCAGGAGGUUCUUGCUCUGUUCCGCCGCCUCACUACUGCAGCUCAGGCUCACGGGACUACAGCUCAGGCCUCUGGUUCCACACCUCCUCCUCCUCCGCCAUCAGGUACAUCACCACCGUGGUUUCUUGAUUCUGGUGCCUCUUUCCACAUGACACCCCAUACCACCCAUUUGUCCUCCCUCUCCCUGUCAUCUUCUGAUUCACCCAUCCUUGUUCGCACUGCUGAUGGCACUUCUCUUCCUGUUACUGGGAGAGGUGUUCUUUCGACUUCUUCCUUUGAGGUUCCUAAUGUUUCGCAUGUUCCUCACCUCACCAUGCAACUUCUUUCUGCGGGACAAAUUACUGAUCAUGGUUGUCGCAUUAUUCUUGAGUCUGAUUCUUGCUGUGUUCAGGAUCUUCGUACGGGCCUUUUGGUGGGAACUGGGCCUAGGCGUCGGGACUCACAGCGUCUUUGGGAGCUUGAUUGGUUGCGCCUUCCUUCAUCUGUUUUGCUCCCUCCAACACCUGGUUCUCCGGCGUCGGCAUCAGCUGCCUCAUCCACUACCUCUUUUGUCCAGUGGCAUCGUCGUCUUGGUCAUCUCUCUGGUGCUCGAUUGUCUAGUCUUGUUGGUAGUGGUGUAUUAGGCCCUGUUUCUGGUGACACUACUCUGCAUUGUACGGGUUGCAAGCUUGGCAAACAGUUGCAACUCCCCUAUUCCUCUAGUGAGUCCAAGUCCCAGAAACCUUUUGAUCUUGUUCACUCUGAUGUAUGGGGUCCUGCACCCAUAACUUCAAAAGGAGGGCAAUCCUAUUAUGUUCUGUUUAUUGAUGACUAUUCGAGAUUUACUUGGAUUUAUCUGAUGUCCUCUCGAGGCCAAUUUCUUUCUAUUUACCAACAAUUUGCUACCAUGGUUCGUACACAGUAUAACUCUCCCAUUCGUGUUUUUCGUGCGGACUCUGCUGGUGAGUACAUUUCCACUGCCCAUCGCUCCUACCUUGCUGAGCAGGGUACUCUUGCCCAAUUUUCAUGUCCUGGUGCUCAUGCUCAGAAUGGUGUUGCAGAGCGCAAGCAUCGCCACAUUCUUGAGACUGCUCGUGCUCUUUUGAUAUCCUCUGCCCUUGCUCCUCAUUUCUGGGCCGAGGCUGUCUCUACGGCGGUUUUCCUCAUCAAUCGCCAACCCUCCACCUCUCUUCAGGGUAGCACUCCCUAUGAGCGUCUCUUCAGCAGCCCUCCUUCCUAUGCUCAUCUCCGUUGUUUUGGUUGUGUCUGUUAUGUUCUACUUCCACCUCGUGAGCGCACCAAACUCACUGCUCAGUCUGUCGAGUGUGUUUUCCUUGGGUACAGUACGGAGCAUAAGGGCUAUCGGUGUUAUGACCCUGUUGCUCGGCGGAUGAGGAUCUCUCGGGAUGUCACCUUUGAUGAGUCCCGCCCUUACUAUCCUCGUUCUCCCUCCGGUCAUCCUAACACCGUUGAGUCCCUCUCUUUUCUUACUUUACCUGAUUGGUAUCUUCCUCUGUCUCCCUCCUCGACACCUCCUUCUAUUUCUCCAUCCUCGCUAUCUCCUUCUUCAUCCACUCCACCACCGCCACCACCACCACCACCACCACCAGUAGCCUCUCCACCCCCGUUGUGUUCUUCCCGUGAGAUCACUCACGUCUAUACUCGUCGUCCACGUCCUGCUCCACCCAUUGACUCUUCUCCGUCCCUCCUUGGCCCUAUUCCUGGGUCUCCUCCUCGCUAUGAUCUUCGUGAUCGCAGCACCCUUCGUCCUCCCAGGCGCUUUGGUUUCACCGCUACUGUUUUAGCUGAGCCCGCGACCUAUCGGGAGGCUGCUCAUCAUUUGGAGUGGCAGCAUGCUAUGGCUGAGGAGAUUGCAGCCCUUGAGCGUACUAGCACCUGGGAUCUUGUUCCCAAACCACCACAUGUCACUCCUAUCACUUGCAAGUGGGUUUACAAGGUCAAAACUCGCUCUGAUGGUUCUCUUGAGCGCUACAAGGCUCGCCUUGUGGCUCGUGGUUUUGAGCAGGAGUAUGGGAUUGACUACGAGGAGACGUUUGCUCCUGUUGCUCACAUGACCACUGUUCGGACCCUUCUAGCUGUUGCCUCCGUUCGUCAAUGGUCAAUUUCGCAAUUGGAUGUCAAGAACGCCUUCCUAAAUGGCGAGCUUCGUGAGGAAGUCUAUAUGCAGCCACCCCCGGGUUACUCUGUUCCUGCUGGAAUGGUCUGUCGGCUGCGUCGUUCCCUCUAUGGUCUCAAACAAGCUCCUCGCACCUGGUUUGAGCGUUUCUCCUCUGUUCUCAUUGCUGUAGGCUUCAAGCCUAGUGAUCAUGACCCUGCUCUCUUUGUUCACACGUCCUCUUCUGGUCGUACCCUUCUUCUCCUCUAUGUUGAUGACAUGAUCAUCACGGGAGAUGACUCCCAAUUUAUUGCUUUUGUGAAGCAGCACCUCAGUGAGACCUUUCUUAUGUCUGAUUUGGGUCCUCUUCGUUACUUUCUUGGUCUUGAGGUUACUUCCACCUCUGAUGGUAUUUUUCUUUCCCAGGAAAAGUACGCUCAGGACCUCCUCUCACGUGCUGCUCUCACUGAUCACCGUACUGUUGACACUCCUAUGGAGCUGAAUGUUCACCUCCGACCCACUGAUGGUGUUCCUCUUGCUGAUCCUACUCGCUAUCGCCAGCUUGUUGGGAGCCUUGUUUAUCUUGGGAUCACUCGCCCGGACAUCACACAUUCUGUUCAUAUCUUGAGUCAGUUUGUCUCGGCUCCUACCCAGCUCCACUACUCUCACCUUCUUCGCGUUUUGCGAUACCUUCGUGGCACCACCAGCCGUCGCCUUUUCUUUCCUCGCUCUAGCUCACUCAAGCUCCAGGCGUACUCAGAUGCCACUUGGGCAAGUGAUCCCACUGAUCGCCACUCUCUUUCUGCUUAUUGUGUUUUCCUUGGAUCCUCCUUGAUUGCCUGGAAAACCAAGAAGCAAACUGCUAUAUCCCGCUCGAGUGCUGAGGCUGAACUGCGUGCUAUGGCAACUGUGGCUGCUGAGGUAACAUGGCUUCGUUGGCUUCUUGAGGAUUUUGGUGUGCCUCUCACUACACCCACUCCUCUCUCCACUGACAGCACUGGUGCGAUCAGUAUUGCUCGUGAUCCGGUCAAACAUGAGCUCACUAAACAUAUUGGUGUUGAUGCUUCAUACAUGAGGUCACGGGUGCAUGAUCAGGUUGUGUCUCUCCAUCAUGUGCCUUCCGAAGUUCAACUAGCUGAUUUCUUCACCAAGGCACAGACCCGGGCUCAACAUACAUUUUUGCUUUCCAAACUCAGUGUUGUUGAUCCACCAUGAGUUUGAGGGGGGGUGUUAGAUGUAUAUAUGUGAUAUUGUAUUUUCUCUUUCUUGGAGGUUCUCCUUGCAUAUGUACACAACAUGUAUACUUGCCCCUUUGGGCCUGGAAUAUGAAGUUAGUUGACCACUUAUUCUAACACUAUAUACCACCAUGCAGUCCACUAGAACUAAGGUCAUACAACUUUACUUCAUUCAACUCGUAUAUACCUAAUAAUUUGAGCUAGUGUCAUAGCAUGCUAUUCCGCCAUGAUCCAAACUGCCUGCACAAAUGAGCUACUUGUGGUGGCAACAUUCUGCUUUUGCAUGAGAAAACUAGAAUUCAGCUUAUCCAACAAAUGUAGAGAAACAAAUAUCCCUCUUUACAAAUACAGUGGCUUUCUAUUCGUUCAUGUAGGUUCUAAGAAAAGUUCGUGAAAUAUCAGACUAUGCAGUUCUAAUAACUUACCAUUCAAAGCUGAAGAAUGAUAUGCACCACAUGCUACUUGGAUUACAUGGAUACUUUUCAGACUAGGGACAAGCUGUGGCCUCCAAUCACUGAAUUUGCUGGAAAUGAUACACAAAAUGCAAAUAUUCAGCACAUCAAUAAAUUAAUCCAAAAAAUAUUUUAUCAAUAAUCCGGAUUUUAGGUCGAAUCCGAUCCAAACAUUGCCCUUACACAAGCUAAAAGGUACAACACAUGGUAAAACAUUUACUAGCAGGUCAGUGUUAAAAUGCUGUUUAAUGACACUGAAACUAGGUACAGACUCAAAAUUUUUUGGAUAACAAACUACUAGUGGUGCUCCGGACAACAAACACACAAAUCUACAACAAGCCGGAUGGGCUGGGGCUUCCGAAUUUCAUCCCGGCCAGCAGGAUUCAGAUUCCAUAAUUCCAUUGCCAAAGAGCAAACAGGAGAUGCUGAUUCCUGCAGAACAAAACUCACGCUUUGAACAAUACAACAAUCCAUCCUAGCAACCCAAUGCUUCCUCACCAGCGAAACAAAAGAAAGUCCAGAUGGAUCCCAACUCCACGGCAACCAGCAGUAGAGAGGCAGAGGAGGAGUAGCCCGAGUAGUAGAUGAUUCUUGGUCGAGUAGAGUAGCUUCGGUUGAGUUGAAUACAGGGCAGGGCGGUCGCGUGCUCCACGGUGUGGUGGGGCUACAAGGCAACUGGUUCACAGAAAUGGGGAAGGCAAGAAGAGGGUUCGAGACUGGGGCGGCAUCCGUGAGGUGUGCGACGGCGAAUUGAAGGCGGCCGUGCGAAAACGGAGAAGGCGAGAAGAGGGUUCGAGACUGGAUAAAAUAGCCUUAUGCGGUGUGUGAAGCGGCGGCGGCGGCGGCCAUGCGUGUGCGAAGAGGUAGAGUCUGAGCGUACAUGCAAUGAGCGGUUGAAUAUGUUCCACAUUCAGUUGCACAUUAUAAAGGCCGACUUCUGACGGAGCGAAGCGGAGGCCCGUACGGCGUUGUAACCCAACUCUUGAUAAUAUUGAGGAGUGUUUGCUGGCUGGCGCCCGUGGUUUUUCGCCUUCGCUUUGGAGGGGUUUUCCACGUUAAAUCUUGUGUCUCCACUAUAUUUUGAUCUCAUGUUCUUCGUCGUUUAUCCGCCGUUAUUCACAACAUGAGCUACGUUGUGGGCUGUAACCUGUGUGCACCCAUGGACUGGACACCACGUAGAACCAAACCAGCCCAGUCCAUUAGACCCGUAGCCCCAAAUCUAUCUAGCCCAUGACGAACAUGAAGACUAUUGCUUCCAAUCCAGAGCCAUUCGAUGCACAAUCCAAACCGUUAAAACCAUUCCAGUCCAAUCCACUAGCAGAGUGAUGUGCGUCCACAAAGCGGUAGGAACAUUUCCUUUUUUUAAAAAAAAAAUGUACUUGUUCAGAUGCCUUCCUUCCUAUGUAAUCUUCGCAUGUUACUUUGUUGUUUGUUCGUUCAGAAAAUCUUUCUCGUUUGGAUGUGAGCGCAUCAUCAGAUGAGGCUGAUGAGGAAGUGGUGCUGCAGUUUCCACCCUCCAGCUUGUUGAGAAAUGUCCGCUUCCUUGGGUGUAUGAAUCUGAUCCUGCCUGUGGAGGAAGAGGAAGGUGCUGGAUUGUGUGGCCUCUCGUCGCUCGAGUCCGUGACCGUAAUAAAUUGUGACAAGCUAUUCUCUCGGUGGUCCAUGGGAGGAGCAGCAGCUCAGACUCAGAGCACCAUCUACCCUCUCCCCCCUUGCCUCAAGGAACUCUGCCUUUAUUAUCAGCAAAGCACUCUGCCAAUGGCUCUGUUCGCGAAUCUCACAUCUCUUACCAGUCUAGAACUAUAUAAUUGCAAGGAUAUCACAGUGGAUGGGUUCGAUCCUCUCAUCACAUUCAACCUCGAGCGUCUGGAGGUGUACAACGGGAGAGAUGGUGAGGCUGAGCCCUAUUCUGUAGCAGCAGAUCUACUUGCAGCGGUGGCAAGGACCAAAACAAUGCCCGCCGGUUCCUUCCAACUGGUUCGACUUGAUGUGGACAGCAUCUCUGCUGUGCUUGUUGCUCCCAUCUGCACCCGCCUGUCGGCUACCCUCCAGAGGUUAUACUUCAGGUAUGAUUGGCGGACGGAGAAGUUCACGGAAGAGCAGGACGAGGCGCUUCGGCUCCUCACAUCUCUCCAAGCCCUGUGGUUCUUUGACUGCAGGGCUCUGCAGUCCCUCCCUCAAGGCUUGCAUCGCCUUCCUUCUCUCCAGGAAUUACAUAUCAGGGGAACUCAAAAAAUCAGAUCGCUGCCCAAGGAGGGCCUCCCUGACUCACUGCGACUGCUAUCCAUAGAUAAUUGCUGUCCCAAGAUUUAUGAGGAAUGCCAGAAAUUAAGGGGAACAAGGCCAGAUAUACAUACAGUUGCCUUCAUUGCUCGAGCGGAAAGGUGAAUCUCUGCUUCUGCAUGCCUUUCACGCACUCAACUCUUCAGUGUACAUCGAUCUGCAGGUUAGUUCCAAAUUAAAAACAAAAACACCUUUUGCUCCUCGAUUUAUGAUUUCAUUAACUGUCCAAACUGAAUUGUUUUUUUUGUAGACUGAAUUUACGAUCUAUAAUUUGAGCUCCUAACAUCUCUCCAAAACCUAUCGUUCGAAGACUCUGCAGCCCUGCAGGCCCUCCCUUCUCUCCAGGAAUUACAUAUCAAUAUAUCAUUGCAACUCAAAAUAUCAUAUGGCUGCCCAUAUCUGAUUUAUUAGGAAUGACCGAAAUUAAAGGGAACAAGGCCUCUGUUCAUACAGUUGCCUUCAUUCCUGACGCGGAAAGCUGAAUCUCUGCUUCUCCUGCCUUUCACGCACUCCAACUCUUCACUGUACACCGAUCUGCAGGUUAGUUCCAAAUAAAAAAACCAGCUUAUAUGCCCUAGGAUUUAUGGUUUUAUUGACUGUGCAAACCGAACUAUUUUAUUUAUUUUUUUGCAUAUAGAUAUGACCCAUUGUCAUAUGCUUCUGUGCUACAAUUGGAGCCACCAUUCCACUAUUCAUGUCUUAUUUCUUUAUCCAACAAAUUUCUAGCAUUUUUCCUGAAUAUUGCAUUGUUUCAAUGAAUCUCAUACUGUGAAUUGGUACUUUCACGGAGAAAAGAGAAUUGUUUCAAUGAAUAAAGACCAUGCCACUAUUAGUUCAUUCUUGUUGUGGCAUGUCGUCAUGAAUUGUGUUUUUUUGUAGACUGAAUUUACGAUCUAUAAUUUGAGCUCCUGACAUCUCUCAAAAGCCUAUCGUUUGAAGACUGCAGGGCUCUCCAGGCCCUCCCUCCUCUCUUGGAAUUACAUAUCAUUGCAACUCAAAACACCAGAAAUGAAAAGAGGACAAGGCCAGAUAUACAUACGAUUGCUUUCAUUCCUGACGCGGAAAGCUGAAUCUCUGCUUCUCCCUGCAUUUCACGCACUCCAACUCUUCACUGUACACCGAUCUGCAGGUUAGUUCCAAAUAAAAGAAAAACAGCUUUAUGGUUUCAUUGACUGUGCAAACCGAACUGUUUUAUUUAUUUUUUGUAUAUAGAUACGACCCAUUGUCAUAUGCUUCUGUGUUACAAUUGGAGCCCCCAUUCCACUAUUCAUGUCUUAUUUCUUUAUCCAACAAAUUCAAUCUCUCCGAUCCUACAAUUUAAUUUCUGGAUCAUAUCAAUUUCUAGCAUUUUUCCUGAAUAUUGCAUUGUUUCAAUGAAUCUCAUACCGUGAAUUGGUACUUUUAGGAAGAAAAGAGAAUUGUUUCAAUGAAUAAAGACCAUGCCACUAUUAGUUCAUUCUUAGUGUGGCAUGUCAUGAAUGGCUGUGGAUGGCUUAUUUCCUAGAUCAUGGUGCAUAUGCCUUGUUGAUGAUCUGAUACGCAAAAUCGCAUUGCUUCUGUUACAUGACAAUAAGGUUAUAUGCUGGCUUGCCUUGCAGGACUCUGCUUCAUCAUACGGUUACACAUCAUCGUUCAAAAAACAUAUAUAAUGAGCACCUAACUUAGAUUGUGGCAAAUUUUGGCAAAGAUCAGGUGAGACAGUCACAAGUGAAGUUCCGUGUAUUCCAUUCUGUUUUUCCUUUUAGAGCUCUUGUGACUUUUUUGUAGUUUCAGACCCUUGACUUUCGUUGGUCUUUUGAAACCACUGAAGGCAGGAGAUGCUGCAUCAUGGAUCAGACUAGAGACUUUUUCUGCAUCGGUCAACCAGCUUAGUGGCAGAACGAAAAAUGCUUUUGAAGUAAUGUGUUUUACUUAACUAUGUACAUCUCUAUAUAAAUGGCAUAAUCCUCUGGAGCCAUUUUAUAAAUUGAUGAUCUGUUGCUUCCUUUGUCAGGACAGGCUCACAAUUGCUUCAAAUUAGAAACAAACCUGUCAGUUAAAGUUCCUAUAUGCCCAAUUAAGCAGUACAUACACCCAGCACUCUGAUUCACUGCGAGUGCUAUAGAUAUUGCUGUGCUGAGAUUAAUGAGGAAUGCCAUAAAUUAAGCGGCACAAGGCCAGAUAUAAGUAUAGGUGCCUACAUUGCGUCUGUGUUCAGCAUGCCUUUGAAUCUACAGGUUAGAUCCAAAUUUAAAAAAAAAAACAGCUUAUUGUGCUCCUCGAUUUAUGAUUUCAUUGACUGUGCAAACCAAUCCUCUUGUGGCAUGUCACGAAUAAAUAUAGAAAAUUGCUCAAUAAAUUCCAUGUCCUUAUAUUAUGUUAGAGUAAAUAGGAAUAGUACCACAUUGUGUAUCCACAUGAGGUGCUAGUCCUAUGUACCCUAUAUAAUCAGCCCAUGAGACCCAAUGCAAUAUAUCAAAUAUUCAACCAAUUAUAUUUUCCUUCAUGGUAUCAUUCACCUAGGUUUAGAUUCUAACCCUAGCCGCCACUGCUUCCGCACUGCGCGACCCCGGAGAGAGGUCGAUCUCCGCCAGGGGCAGCGUCCCUCUUUCGGCGUCCGAUCCUAUUGAUCCGGCUGCCAUCGUCGUCGCACAACAGAUCAGAAUCUCCCCUAUGUCAUCGCCAGGUUGCCGCCGCCGCCUCGUCCCCAGGCUCGCCGCCGGCUGUCGCCAUCAACACCUGAUCAUCAUCGCAUGGAAGCAGAUGGAUCUCGCCCUGUCCCGUGCCGUCGUGGUGGCGGCUAGGGCUGGCCACACGUCUCGACCCUGCGCUGCCAUGGAGGCAGCCAGAUCUGGCGUGUCCCUGUUGCCGAGCGGAUAUGCCCAUCUCCACCUCGUCGAUAUGCGUUGGCGCCUUCGACCCCGCGUGUUCGUGACCCGCCGUGCGCCUUGCGCUGCCCGAUCGGGACGCACCGCCGCUGUCGUGUCGUCUUGCUGGGUACACCUGAUCUGUUUUUACUGUAUCUUUUUGGUUUGGCGGAUCACUGAUCGGGAUUGAGUCACCCACCGCCCGUCGAGCAUCGACUUCAUCGACACUGUCUCCGAGUACUACGUGCAUCUUCUCUAAGCAACAGGGCUACUAUUGUGUCGCCUCAUUGGGCCACAACACUGUUAUCCAUGUGUACGCUUCGCCGUUGCAUCUUCAUCGCCGUCAUCUGUGCAUCGACGACUGUGCUGCGCAAUCCCUACUGUGCCAUCCGUCUGCACAAGGUCUUCGUCGUGCUGAUUGGGUCUUCGUCAUCGAGCUACCACUACCCGCGUCGUCGCUGAGACCUACUCGUCGACACGUCUUCUCUCGCAUUGCUUCUUCUUCAUCCAGCACAACCACACGGUUGGGGCCCUCUCUCUUGUAUGCUUGGUAUUGGCAACACCGACGCGCGCUUUCGUCCCCGACGCGUUGCUGGAUCUAGCAAAUCCAGCUGCUCCUCGGCGCUCAGGCGGCUUGACUGCAUCGACCCUCCCGUUCCCACCCCGUCUGCCUCUAUUGCGUCAUUGCCUUUCUUCUGCGUCUACGACGGCCCUAACUGCGUCGACUUCGCCAUCGUUCCCUCCCAUGAUGACUGCCUUGACGCGUCUCCGUCAUUACUAUGGCGCCCCUUGUAUGUCUGCAGCUCCAUCGACACGCAACCCAACCACAACUACGUCGACUUCGGCCAUCUUCAGCACAGCUUCUUCGACCACGACUAUUGUGCCCUUACGCUCGGCUACCUCGACAUUGGCAGAAAGGGCUACCGCCUUGCAUGGACUCAUCGGCUUCUUCCCCAGCCAUAGCAUACGCGGCGGAUAGACUGUUAUGACUGCGGGGGAUGUUACUUAUCAGCUUCUUCUCCAGUCUUACCGUCUGUAGCGCUUCUGCUGUAACUGCGGGGGGAUGUUAGAGUAAAUAUGAAUAGUACCACAUUGUGUAUCCACAUGAGGUGUUAGUCCUAUGUACCCUAUAUAAUCAGCCCAUGAGGCCCAAUGCAAUAUAUCAAAUAUUCCACCAAUUAUAAUCUCCUUCAUAUUACUUAGUUGAUUCCUCUUGUGGCAUGCCAUGAAUAACUGCUGAUUUUUUGGUGCCACUCCACCUUAUUAUAUUAGACACCCUAAAUCAUGAUGCAUAUGCUCUUUUGGUGACCUGAUAUUCACAAUUCUCUUGUUUCUGUCACAGCACUAGUGGUUGCCCACAGCACAGUGAGAUGAUAUACUGGUUUUCCUUUGCAGGACUCUACUUCAUCAUCAUGUUACACAUCGUUGAAAACCAUAAAUGAGGCCAAGUUUGGGUUGUGGCAAACUUUGGCAAGUAAAGCCAAGGAAAUUCUCAAUGACGAUGGCUUGGCGCCUAAGUUUGAGGACUUAGGGAAUAACAACCUCCUAGCAAAACCGGUGCAUCCAAAAAAUAUCAGGUGAGACAGCAAUCAUAUCUGAAUAUCUGAACAUAUUGACAUCGUGUAUGGCAUUGUCUCUCUCUUCAUUAAGAUUGUUCCAGGCUUUCUUUUCUUGUAAUUUUAGACCCGUAACUCCCGUUGUUCAUUUGAAAACCACUGGAAGACAGGAGAUGCGGCAUCACAAGUCAGACCUUUGAUCAUUUGAAAACCACUGAGGCUCUUUCUGCUUCUAUCAACCAGCUUAGUGGAUGGAAGAAUAAAAAAUGCUUUGGAAGUAAUGUGUUUUUACUUAACUCUGUACAUCUGUUUCUGUUUCUUUAUUUCUAUAAAUGGCACAACUCUGAGCUGUAUUGUAAAUUGAUGAUCCGUUGCUUCCUUUGUUUAACAGGAAAGGGGUCACAAUUGUGGAUAAUUAGACAUCCAGUAUCAUUGAGUUGAGGAAACAAAGAAAAUUCAAAUUAGAAGGAAACCUGCCAGUUCGAAUUCUCAUAUGCCGAAUUCAGCAGUAGAUACACAUAAACCCACGCUCCUGAUCUCUCACCAUUAACCUGAAUCUGCAGCCCAGGAGACUGAACUGUACGCUUCUCACGACAACAGGUGCCACAUGUUUGUAUCUUGAUGACAAAUAUGAUAUUAUACAUCCUCUAUGAGAGAAACAUGUAGUCAUCAUUGUUGUCGGAUCAACAUUAAAUUUUAUGUUUUCUAGUCUUAUGAAAUGGGUUACGGCAUUAGUUUUCGGUAUAUUACAUGAAAGCAUAAAGAUGUUUCUAUUUUCUACUAAGAAAUAUUUCUAGUUCCUUUGUUGAUCUACUUAUUUCCUGUUCCUUUAUUUUGCCAAUCUAUUUAUUUCUAGUUCCUUUACCCAUUACGGAGCUGUAGUGUAGUCGAGAAUUGAUUGAGUGCCAGCUGAGGUUGCCUAAUGUUUUCUUAUGGUUUGUAGCAUUUCAAAAUAUAAGCAUUGCUCCUACCUGAUUCGUUUAAAAAAAACAAAAAAAAAGCUAAGCAUCGUGACCAGCAGAAUAGCAGAGUAAGCUCUUUUAUGUGCUUACAUUUUUUUUUUGAAAUAAUUGUACUUACAAUGAAUAGUAGAACUGUUUUUUUCCCUCAAAACAUAAAUUUUGUCUUUUCAGUGCGUUAGAUGAAUGGUUCAGAUAAGUUAUUCUUUUGUAGUAUCUGCCAGCAAUGAUCCCUUUCUCUUUUCCCCUAUUAAUCCUUUCAGGUUGCUAAUGUAAUGGCUGCUAUAAAGCGAAACUUCUACUCUAUGAGCAAAAAUCUGUUGAAUCGAUCCAGAUUUUGUGAAGCAGAUAUGUGCUCAGCUAGAAGUACUAGAAGCAAAGCAGAAAGGGGAUAAAACUGAAGAGUGGUAAUCUGUUUUUUUUUAUCAAACUUGUUUCUUAACAUGUUUAAUGUCUUUUCGUGAAUUACAUACACCUUUGAUUACUCCUUCGAUUACAUACACCUUCAAACUUGCAACAAUCUUUGGCCAUUCAAAUUAAUAAAACCUACAACUUUGAUUACAUUACACCAAAAAAAACUGCAACAAUGCUGCAUAAACUGCAGCUAAUAUAUUAAAGUGAAAAUUGGUUGUGUGGUAAAAUGACAAGGAUCAGAAAAUACCACCAAAAGAACUCCAUUACCAGUGAUGCCACCCAAAGAUAAUGCUGUUUUCUGAAAAUAGCAUUUCUUCAUGUUUGGAAGUAACAGCCUAGCACGAUCCAUCUCCGUCAAUCCAAAGUGGGAAAAAAAUCCACUCCAACCUAUGAAAAAUAAAUCCACUGCAUUGCCCAGUGUACUCAAUGGAUUUCCUUGUACAUUGACAGGUGUUGAGCUAAUUUGGGCUGACGGGACUCCGGUUACUGCGCAUGGCGAGGCGUGUUUGAUUUCAGCGGGAAGGAGAGCUCGGACACCAUGACCGGCAUCCGAAGAGCCUACCCGGAGCUCGGCAACUGCCUCUACUUCGAUCUUGCUCACAAGACCCACGCCGUGCUCUACGAGCUGCCCAGGAGCAGGCUCAACUGGCUCUGGUACAUCAAUGGCCCAGAACCGGAGCUCACGGUAAUGGCCGUCCCCCUCGCUGCGUCGUCGACGUGCUAGGAUACUUGACUCCACAGCGCAAGGGUACAGAAAGGUCAUCACCACAGUACAAGGGCCCAUGGAUGUUGUGCAUGCAUAGCAUUGGGAACAACCACACACACACAAAAGGAAUAUUCCUUACAGAUGCUAACUGAGCAUGUCCCUAAAGAUUAUCAGUAUGUUUUAUCAUCCUUAUUAAUUAUGAUGAUAUAAGAUUAGUUUCUGAUGGGUGCUAAUAUGUUGACUAGUACAUGAUAUGAUUUGUGUGCCAAAUAGGCUACUAGUACUCGUAAUUACAUGAUUUGGGUGCUAAUAUAUAUGUUGACUCGUACAUGAUUUGUGUGCCAAAUGGGCCGUAAAGAUCUUUGGAGUCUAUCUCUUAGCCUACUCAUAUAGGAGCUGUCUUUUUAUUAUUAAUACAUAGUCCACUUAUCACUCUCAUAAAGUUUUAUUUGUUCUUAUAUCUAAGUCAGUAACAUCCUCCUUCUCCUCUCCUCUCUCUCCUCCACGCCACGAUUCAUUUUCCUUAUAGUAUGUUAUUAUACUGGUUCUUAUAGCCGAUUCUCCUUCAUCCUAAAUUAUAAGCUAUUUCAAAAAUCUUAAAGAGACAAAAUAUUUUAAAUCCAAUGUAUAUUUAAUUUAGGACAGACAGAGUAUUGUGUUAGGUGAGGGGUCUCAAUCAAACAGUUUUGUUUGGUAGAUGAAUUGAUGUGGCGACUUUUUUUUUUUGCGACAUGAUGUGGCGACUUAAUCCCAGGCUUUUGUGUCGCAUGUUAGCAGCAGUAGCAGCAGAUGAAUGGUGACGGAGGGGCUAGUUUGAUACUUUAAAUUAUUUUUUAUAAUAAGAUAAGUGGAUAAUUUAGUACCAGGUUUUAGAGUUUUUUAUUUUAUAAAUAAUGAUUGUGAGUAGUUUAUUUGCAAAUUAGGGGCUUUAGAUUGUUUUUCGUAACGUUAUAUGUGGGUAAUUUAGGGUUUUAGUUAUUCAGUUUUUAUAGUGGCAUAAGUGUUUAACUUAGAUUGAUAUCGAAGAUAUUGUAUAUUAUUUUUAAUUAUAGAUGUGACUAAUUUAGAUAAAAAUUAAGGAUUACUUUAGACUCUUCAUAAAGGUUGCCCUGGAUAGUUCUUUUUUUUUUAAAAAAAAAAGAAAGUAUAACAGAUCCAGGUAACUAUUAUUACUGAUUCCUAACGAGUU
rnacentral:lncRNA from 1 species